rnacentral:lncRNA from 1 species
UAAUUUAACAGCAUAGUGCAGUGAAUUCCAACCCCAUAAGUCAGGUUCCUCGCAUAAAGGUUUAUUCCAACGCCAUAGUGAUCUAAUGCAAUCUGGAUGUGUCAACACGAUAAAUGCAUAAAUGAGGGGUUAGAUCUUCUCGCAAAUAUAGUUGCACAGCAGACACUACAAAAUCAUCAGCAAAAAUUGCAGAUAACUAUUUUUUAGUCAAAGAAUAUAACGUUGCCCAGAUAUUGAAAUGACAUUACUCAACCCACCCCUCCUCUAAGUCUUCUUCUCUUCCCUCCUAUUUUUUCUUACGGCAGAAUCGCUAUUCAGGUGGAUAAAAACUGCUGGACAUUAAAUAACCACAUCACGAUUGAUUUUGGUUGGCUAGUUUAGAAAGUCACAGGGUUAGGCCAAAACUUCUUUGUUCACAUCAUUCGCUACACCUUGGCGAGAUAGUCUUUUGGAAAGGAGAAGAGGGAUUGGGGUAGUUGUCAGAGAUAUUAAAUAGUAAGAAAAUUAGUCCAUUGGAUUAUAAGUUGAUGCAGAUAAUGGAGGAUCCUAGUGAGACUAUCGACAUGAUUAAUCCAUAUUAUGGGAAAUUCAACUAAAGUUAGAUGUUGAUACAGCAAAUAGCAAAAAUUAUGUACCUUUAUGUUCCUGAAUUGCUGCUGCAUGCAGAGGCGUUCUAUUAGAUGGACCUGCAACAUAAGUUGGUUUCUUGAAGGAUUCCAAAAUUUUAAUCAAAGCAUCAUGAAAACCAGAUUCAGCCGCCAGAUACAGUGGCGUCUCCUGCGCAUGGUUAGGCGGAAAUUCAAAUUCAGGAUCUUCUGUCACCAAGAGCUUAACCACAUCUAGAUGUUGGCUCCUCACGGCCUUGUGCAGCGCUGUAUCUCCACUAGCAUCCAUCAUCCUCGUGAGUUUCUCCUUAGUAUUAUGAUCUUCGACACAUGCAAGUAGCACACGUACUACUUCAGUGUGCCCUUCAUUAGCUGCUAUGUNNNNNNNNNNACAGCAAAACAAUGCUGGAGUAAUCUUAAGGACUUCUUCCACAAAAUGGGAGUGGCCAUAGAGGGCUGCGACAUGGAGGACCGUGUUUCCCUUUGGAGUGACUUGGUAGCCAUUUUCUUCAUCCCUUUUCAGAUGAUCAGCAAGUAGAAAAUUGGCAUCUCCGAUAUUGCCUCUCAUCGCAGCAUUAUAUAGGGUCGGAUCCAUUCCCUUUGAUUUGGAGUUUUAUCCAAGAACUCACAAUGACAAUCCUGUGAGUCCUUUCUCUGGAUGAAACAUUAUUAUAUAGGAAAAACUAAUUAGAUUCUUAAUGAAUCCCAAAGAAGAAAGGGAUCUGGUGUUUGCCUUGAUCACAAGAAAGGGAUUUUGAUGUUUUCGUAUUUCUCUUUCGUGUCAAAAGUGAAAGAAUAUCAUGAACAUAAACAGUUUUAAGAACUUAUUAAACCACCUAAGACAAAAAGAAUGCUUGGAUCUCUUAAGAUUCACUUCGUCUUAUGAUUUUUUUCUCAUAAAAACAAACAAGUAGAGCAGUCGAUUACUUAAGAAACGAACAAAACAUGACUACAGAACAAAGAAAAUCUUGUUGCCAACUCAAAUGUGCUAUAGAGGAAACUUACCGAAACAAUAAUGGCGAUCAUUGGCUCCCAUUUCCCCAUGAGACUGGCGGAUGUUGCUCCUUUUCCCUUUACUCAACACAUGCUCUUCGCGGAUCUACAACAUCCAAACUGAAAACCAGCCGCACAUUCGUGAUAAAUUUAAUUUGAAUUCAUAAAUAGUGAAGAAGAGGUCAAUAGAAGGAUACCUAGAAAAAUGCUCCGAAAAAGGUCUCUUAGCAUUGUUGCAUAAACACAACAUAUUCCUCUAUAGAAGGCCCUAUGGAGUAAAGGGGAGUGGGUGAAUUCUAGGAAAAAGAGGGAGCGAGCCUAUAUAAAUAGAAAAUGAAAUAAAGAAAAUUUCAUGAAUAGAUAGAGUCAACGGUACAACAAACAGUGCUGCACAUGAAAUCUUUGCGGAGGGGCUCAAAUUAGCUACCCUGGCACUUAAACAACCCACCCAAAAUUUCAGGUACUGAUACAAAUACGAUCGUGAUCAUGAACGUUUUUUGGAGUAUAUUAAAGGCAACCGAGAGAGUGCACACGUGUAAGUGUGAAGAAGGCCCAAAGCCGCCCAUAUGGUGCACUCAAUGGGUGCCCAUUUUGAAGACCAGUCAUUAAAGGGUCUUUAGUCUUUUGUCUCUUAUUGUAAUGUAAUAUAAAUAGAACCUUGUAGGGUUUUAGUUCCUUAGUUUUUGAAUGUUAUUGAAAGAAGUUCCUCUAGAGAAAGUGAGACCAACGGUAACUAGGGUGAUACUAGUGUGGACCAGUGUUGCAAAACAUUGUUAGAAACCUUGGUGCUUGAGAGGUGGACACCCUCUUGUGUCAUCGUAGAGUGUUGGUGUUGAUAUUAAGAGUGUUAAGGGUCUUGGUAUUUAAUAUAUACCUUGGUUCUUCUGAUCAAAGCAAACAAUAAAUAACUUUCUUUUGAUCAAAGGCAAAGAUCUGUGUGGUGUUCACAAUAUUUCUAUAUAAUAUUUCAUCCGGAGAAAGCAAAGAACUCACCAGCAAACCAAAUAAAAGAAACGAAAAUGGAUCCAACUUUGUACAAUGCUGUGGUGGGAGGCAAUAUCAGUAAUGGUGAUUUUUCACUUGCUGAAUAUCUGAAAAGGGAUGAAGAAAAUCCGUACCAAGUCACUCCAUCACUCAACACAAUCUUACACAUGGCCGCUCAUUAUGGCCACUCCCAUUUCGUGGCAGAAGUCCUUAAAAUUAGUCCAGCAUUGUUAUGCCAUCGGAACAAGAAGAAUGAAACUGCACUUCACGUAGCAGCUAAUGAAGGUCACAUGGAAGUAGUCCACUCGCUACUUAGUAUGGAGGAGCAUCAUAAGGAGACGCUCAUGAGGAUGACAGAUGAGAAUGGAGAUACAGCACUGCACAAGGCCGUGCGGAGCCAACAUCAAGAUGUAGCCAGACUGUUGGUGAAAGAAGAUCCUGCAUUCGAAUUUCCAUCCAACAAGGCUUGGGAGACACCGCUGUAUCUGGCUGCUGAGUCUGGUCUUCGUGAAGCUUUGAGUGAAAUCUUGAACUCAUGCAAGCAACCAACUUCUUCUGCAGGUCCAUUAAAUCGAACACCUCUGCAUGCAGCAGUAAUUCAGGAACACAUGGGUAUGUACAUAUUUUUUUGACACUACUCUCACUAUGUUAAAAUCUCUUUUUGAUUCUUGUUACUAUCUGUUGUAUCUUGUACUUCGACUAUCGUAUUAUUUUGUUCCAGUACUGUUCUGUUUUGGACUGUUUUUCUUGAGCUGAAAGUCUAUCGGAAACAGCCUCUCUGCCUCCGAGGUAGUGGUAAGGUCUGCGUACACUCUACCCUUCCCCGGACCCACUUAGAGACUACACUGGGGAGUCUAAAUUUGCGUUGAUUUAACUCCUUAUCAUCAUCAUCUUUGAUGCAUGCAUCCAGAUUGCGCGAGAUUGCUAAUGCAAUGGAAUAGAUAGUUGUGUGAGGAACCUGACGUGGGGGGUUGGAAUUCGCUGCACUUUGCUGCUCUUCUGAGAUUGAAAGAAAUAGUUUCCGAUAUGCUGGUGUGGAAAAGAUCCUUAGCCUACCUUCCAGCAGGCAGUGAAAACGACUGGACAACAGCAGUUCACAUUGCAGCCGGUGCAAGUAAGAUGUUUUACAUGAGCUAUUAAAUCACUGCCCUGAUUUCUGGGAAAUGCUCGACAGCAAUGGCCGAAAUGCUCUUCACGAAGCCAUAUUCUGCAGUCAAGCAAAUGUGGUGAAUUAUUUAUUGAAGUCCACAAAGUGGGAUAAGCUUGUCGAGGAUCCAGACAACGAUGGCAACACACCUCUCUAUUUGCUUGCUUCCUCUAAUUUUUGGGGCUACGUGCCUCUGGAAUUAAAAGAUCAUCCCCGAGCAAAGAAGAUGUCAUAUAACAAGGAAAACAAGACUCCCUUUGACGUAGCAGUGUCUUGCACAGAGUGGACGGCAGACAAGGAUAGAAUCGCACCUAGCUUGUAUCACGAUUUCCUUAAUUCCAUUGCUCAGCUGGGACGACGUUCACCCAAGCUGAACCAGAUGGAUCGGCAGAAGAUAAUUUUCAACCAAGCUAAGGAACGCGACAUAAAUAUCAAAGGUAUCUUGUCAGCAGCUCAAAUGCAACUAGUUGUAGCUACUCUAUUAGUCACAUUCACCUUUACGGCUGGUUUUACAUUACCGAGAAGUUUUGAAAGCGAUGACAAUAGCCCUAAUAAGGGGAUGGAAGUUCUAAUAAAAAAAACAGCAUUCCGUGCAUUUGUUAUAACGGAUGCCAUCGCCUUUGCAUGCUCCGCUGGUGCUAUAUUCAGAUACUUCUAUAUGGCGACAAAUCCUCGUCCAAUGUUUUAUCAGGAUUUGGAUUAUUUGUGGUCUCUCAGUAAAGUUGGAGCUAGGUCGCAGCUCGUGGCAAUGUCAGCAGUUGUAAUUGCAUUUGUAACUGGUAUGUAUGCUACUUUAGCACAUUCAGUUGGUCUCGCUGUUACUGUCUGUGCCUUCGGUUGCAUCUCUUUCAUUAUGUACGUGUGGGCAGUGCUGAGGCCAGUAUGGUGGAUACCUAUAGCAAAAAGGUGAUGUAUAAGGUAAUGUAUACGUACAAAAAGUAUUUUUGACAUGUAUACUUUGUGUAAUUUUCUAUAUACAUAAUAUAAAUUCAUUGGUUGCACCUCUUUCCUUGUGUACAAACUUCUGUUAUGUUCCUUGAACUGAACUCGCGAUAUAUAUUAGUAGUAUGUGCAAUAAAGACUAAUGAAAUUCAUGAACAUGAGCGGAGACAAUGAUUUCAAGUGUUAGUAAUUGAAUUCCUAAAGAUUACAAAUACGAGUCUAGAACCGCUGAAGGAUCCAAAGGAUACCCCAGAGGCCAGCCAGGCUGUUGUGCCCGAGGCUAAACCACGAAGAGGCCCAAGAAUUAGACAUACCAAUUAAAAUUACUGGAGGUCCACGUCACUAAUUAAAAUUAUGUGAAUGUCCCAAUUAAGUUAACUAAACAACUGAAUAUAUUUCUAGAUGUUCUUAGGCCAAGCUCCAAUAAUUGUAAAAAAUAAGUGAGCCCUAAAAUAUUCUUUUGCCAAGCCUUACAAACCUCAAAAUGACUAGUCAAUCAUUCUCUGUUGCAUACAUUUUGGUCGAUUACUGUUUAUGCUUCUUGGAUUUUUCAUUCAAUGCUAUGACGGGUGAUCUUCCUCAUAGAUUCAAGGCACUGACUAGUAUGAACAAAAUGUAAGAGAAAAUAAAUUAGUUCUUACUAAUUUUUUUAAUUAAAUAUGACGUGGAACUCUAGUAAGAUAACACAUGGAAAAGCUAUUUUUCAAAAACUACCAUUAACAAGCACAGGCAUGUAUGAACCUGUUUUGUAACGACAAUGACAUAAACGAGCCAAACUUUUAACGGAUGGUAUAAAUGAGUCAUUUCUUAUAGUUUGAUAGCAUAUUUGAGCCUUUUCUCUUUGUUUUAAUUAAUGAUGUGGACCUCUAGUAAGAAUACACGUGGCAAAGCUGUUUUUGAAAACCACCGUUAACAAGUAAUGGCAUGGAUGAACCUGUUUUGUUACGGCGAUAACAAAACGAGCCAAACUUUUAACGGAUAGAAUAAAUGAGCCAUUUCUAAUAGUUCGAUCGCAUAUUUGAGCCUUUUCUCUUUUUUUUAAUUAAUGAUGUGGACCUCUAGUAAGACGACACGUGUCAAGCUGUUUUGAAAAACCACAGUUAACAACUAAUGGCAUGAAUGAACCUGUUUUGUAACGGCGAUGGCAUAAAUGAGUCAAACUUUUAACCGAUGGCAUAAAUGUGCCAUUUCAAAUAGUUCAUGUCAUAUUUGUGCCUUUUCUCAUAUCGAUACAAUCAGCUCAAACACUUUUAAGAAUAGGAUAAGCUACAUACGUAACCCAAAAGUUCUUGAAAUAGAUUAGAGGCAUCAAGAGCAAUUGGAAUAUGAAAAACUUCAAUCGUAUAGUUUAUAGAUCUCGCGAUGCCUUUUUUCCAUUUAAAAGUAUAUUUUAUAUUGUAAAUUUUAUUCAAAAUUGACUAGAAUUUUAUUUAUCAAAAUUUUCCUUAUCUGAAGUGUAUAAAUCCCUAAAAUUUAGGAGUUCAAGAUUAAUUAUUAUUUUUCAUAUAUAUAUAUAUAUAUAUAUGAAGCAUAUCAAAUUUUAUUUUAUCCCCGUUUGUCUGUUAAAAAUUGAACGAAAAGAUGUGAAAACUUCAAAAGUAGUUAGCUUUGUUUUGUAGAGCUCCUGUUAUUAAUUUGAUUAACAAAUUAUGAUAUUAUUUCUUCUAUGAAUAUUGAAUAUCCAGAUCUUAUGAAAUUUAUUGUUAGCACAAAAAAAUUUAUGAAAUUAAUUAGACUAUGUUUUUCUUAUAAAAAUAUUUUAGUAAUUUCUUGAAAAUAUUUUUUCAUCUUUUAAAAAACUGUUUAUGAAUAAUAUGAAUACACAAUUGAUGAAUAAAAUCUUGAAGAUAAGUUAACUUUACCGGUCUUCUUUUGUUUAAUCGAUUCAGGGUACCACAAUGUAUAUUGCUUUGCGGCUUAGGAACUUACCAAUAUGAUUUGGAGACUAAAUGUCAAAUUAGGCAAGUGCUUUGAUGUCUAACAUAUGAUAGAGAUAAAGGAGAUGAAUAAAUAUUUUAUUAGGUAUAUUCUCUUACGAAAGAACUUUUUUUCUUUUUGUAUAUAAUUUAAAUGCUUGAUGUCAGACACACGUGCAACGCACGUAUCCUAGACUAGUAACUAAAAUAACAUGUAAUGGACUAAAAAACCAUAUCGGUCGUAUGUAAUUCAAGGUAUUGGGUAAAAACUGAAAUAUAUGUAGUUGAAUUAUACAUUUGGAAGCAAUAAGUAGAAACUCUCAUCACAAAAAUCUACAAAUAUAGAUAAAAACCAAGAAGUACAAUAAAAUAGAGAGGCAACCUAUGAAACAGACAGUAACGACAAGACCAAAGGAAUGUGAUAAGGUAGCAAACAUACCCGUUGCGAAUGCAAUUACAACUGCUAACAUUGACAAGCACUGAAAAAUACCUGCGAGAUCAUAAAACUUCUCUACAGCUUUCUUAUUUUGAUGAAAUCUGCCAUGAGGAAGUAGAUGAAUAUGGCAACACCUGAGCAUGUGAAGGCAAUGGCAUCAAAAACAACAAAUGCACGAAAUGCUGUUUUCCUUAUUAGAAUCGCCAUCCCUUGAUUAGAGCUAUAAGGGUCGCUCUCAAAACCUCCUGGCAAUGUGAUACCCGCGGCGAAAGUGACAGUCAUUAUCAAAGUGGCCACAACAACAUGGAUUUGAGCUGACUUCAUAAUACUUUCGAUUACUGUUUGAUCUGCCUUUUUAGCUUUAUCUUGAUUAUCUUCCCUCAGUUGUAUUUUGACUCCUGUUCCCGUUUCAUCAUUUGGAUUGGGCAUGUACUCGUACUUCCGCUUUACCUCAAAGUCACGUUUUCCAAAUCGGCCAAUGCUACACAAAUCCUCCACCAAUUUCUCCUAUUUUUAUCGGUAGUACAGUUUAUAUUGAGUCUUGUCGAAAAAUUUAACACAGUAACUUGUCUAACUGAGAAUUAAUCUGUUCAUAGCUUAGGAGGCAACGAUAUCAUGUAAAAAUUGAAUUACAAUUUUACUUGACCACAUCAAGAAUGGUCAGAAAGAUAAGUUGGAUCUAUAAAAGCAUUGUUAUUAAAAGUUAAAAGAGUAUUCCAUAGCAAUGCAACCAGUAUUUGAAAAACAAAUAUGUGACUGACUUCUUACCUAUUUUGUCGUUGCUUUGAAUAUCAAGUGGAGUCUAGUUUUGUUUGUUAAAUGACAUCUUCUUUUCUCUAGGAUGGUUUAUUAAUUCAGGCACAUGGUCACCAGAGGCAGCAAGCAAAUGGAGAGGAGUGUUGCCGUCGUUGUCUGGCUCAUCAACAAGGUUGUCGCACUUAUCAGAGCCUAAUAAGACGCGGACUACCUUGUCUUGAUUGUUCAAUACGACAACAUGAAGAGCAUUUUGAUUGUUUCUGUUAAGCAUAUCCCAACAAUCAAGGCAGUGAUUUAAUAGCUUAUUUAUCAUGUUUACGUCACCUUCACUGGCUGCAAUGUGAAUUGAUGUCGUCCAGUCAUUUUUAGUGCCUGCCGGAAGGUACACUAAGGAUUUUUUCCACUCCAGCAUAUAAGAAACUACAUCUAUCAGUCCUAAUUGGAACAGCAUAAUGCAGUGAAUUCCAACCCCAUAGUGAUCUAAUGCAAUCUGGAUGUGUCAACACGAUAAAUGCGUAAAUAAGGGGUUAGAUCUUCUUCCAAAUAUAGUCCUAAUUUAACAAUCCUGUGAGUCCUUUGCUUUCUCUGGAUGAAACAUUAUUAUAUAUAGGAAAAAUUAAUUAGAAUCUUAAUGAAUUUCAAAGAAUAAAGGGAUCUAGUGCUUGCCUUGAUCACAAGAAAGGGAUUUUGAUGUUUUCAUAUUUCGCUUUCAUGUCAAAAUUUGGAUUGUACAAAUUUGGAUCCAUUUUCUUUUCAUUUUUUCCUUAUUUUUUUGGAUUUUGGGAUUUAUAAAUAUUUCAAAUUAUGAUCUUUUGUGUCCUUUAUUAUAUUAUCAUAGAAAUAUUCCGGUCUCCGGACACGGGUAAAAUUCCUGUCAUGUGAUCAGGAGGUCACGGGUUCAACUCUUGGAAACAGCUUCUUGUAGAAAUGUAAGUUGAGGUUGCGUAUAAUAGAUCCUUGUGCUCGGGUCCUUCCCCGAACCCUGCACAUAGCGGGAGUUUAGUACACCAAGCUGCCCUUUUUCUUUUUUUAGAAAUAUUCUGGACACCACACAAACAUUUGCCUUUGAUAAAAAUAGAAAAGCUAAGGUAUUUAAUUUGUUCUUUGCUGUAGUUGGAAGCAAGGAAUUUGUUUAACUCUUUUCACAGGCCAAUCAACAACUGGUACCAGUAAACUCUGUCUACCAAUACUAGAACAGAUCGUGAGAAGAAAUCACCCUAGCGUUUAGCUUCUAGUGAAAAUUGAACCCGAGACCUUAUAGUACACAACAAACUUCAUUGAACACUAGGCGAUACCUUUGGAUGCUCCUAACUAGCAUCUUUGAAUUAAGACUAUAAUUGUUUCUUUCGUCCAGAGAAAGCAAUCCUGUUCGCGAUGUUAGUGGUGGUGGAACCACACGUAGAGUCGGAGGGUAAUAAUCAUGAAGACAGAGCUAGUCGAGAUGAAAAAUUAGUCAAAAACAUUAUGAAGGCAGCUCAAAUGCAUUUAGUUGUGGCAACUAUCUAUUAAUGACACACUAAUAUUAACCAUUAUACAGAAAAAAAGAAUAAUAUUAGAAUACUCUGCUUGAUGAAUCUCCAAAAUAGAAAACUAAGUACCACUAUUUUCCUUUGACCCAAAGAAAGGCAUUUGUUACCUAAACUUUGCCUUCAUCAAAAGAAAGGGAUAACUUCUUGUUUGGGUUUUAUGUUUUAUAACUAAGUAAAGCAUCUAGCACCCCCCGAACUAUGACCAAAUUUUUUACAACACACUCCAACUUCACAGAGGUCCUAUUACCCCCUUGAACUCAAUGUUAGCGUAUUUUUGUAAAUUGCAAACACAGGAUUCUCGGCCUGAAUAUGUAUAUAUGUGUAAGUCUCUGUGUGUGUAGCUGAUAAAGUUGGAGUAACUGGCAAAGCUGUUGUCAUGUGACUAGAAGGUCAUGGGUUCAAGUCUUGGAAACAACUGGCAGAAAUGCAAGGUAAGGCUGCGUACAAUACACCCUUGUGGCAGGCCCUUCUCUGAACCAUAGUGGGAGCUUUAGUGCACCCUUUUUUGUCAUGCUCUCUACAGUCUUUUUUCAUGGCUUCUCCGCUUCUAACAUUUCGUUUUUGUACUGCUUUGAAUUGUUAUUCCUUGCACUGAAGGUCUAUAAAAAUUCGGAAAGCUCUUUGUCUUCCAAUGUAGGGGAUAAGGUCUGCCUACCUUCUGCGCUACCCAAACUCCACUUGAGGAAUUUCACUGGGUAUAUUGUUGUUGUUGUACGAUGAAUUAUUUUGUGAAUGUACAUUGGGUCUAUAGCAUUGUCGGUGACGAAAAAAAAUGAUCUCCUGUGACCGCUUAUUAUUUGAAUAGAAGAAAAUGAUCUUUGUUAUAUCAUGUGAUAAAGAAUGUAUUACUAAAAUAACAUGUAAUGGACUAAAAAGACACAUCUGUCAUAUGUAAUUCAAGGUAUUGGGUAAAAACUGAAAUAUGUAGUUGAAUUAUACAUCUGCAAGCAAUAAGUACAAGGGAUGUUUUUUAUUUACAUUCUCGACUCUUAAAAAGAGCGACCUGAUAAUCUAUCUCCGCUAUGUUCUUAGUAAACAAGCAGCAUAUUGUCAAAUGUCAUUACUAUUACGCUGACCACCAGGUUGUGAGGCUUUCACAAUGGAUGUUUUUCAUUUAGAUUCUCGGCUAUUAAAAAGAGCGACCAAACAACCAAAAUUAGACAGGUGCACGUAGCUUAACCGCCUUAACCAUCAUUGAAACUAUAUCCGUCACAUUGAAAAUGCGUAUGUCAAAAACCCAUGCAACAUAGUCUUACCCAGGGUUUCGAUCUAGUGGUAAGAACAGACUUGUGAAUUAGGCGCACGUGACACGUUUGAACCCUGCAACUAGCAAAAUCGUUACACUUAAGUGGAAAAGUAUUUUUCCAGGACUUCUCCACUUCUAACAUUUCUUUUUUGAAUUGGAAAAGAAUACCUGGAUCUCUUAAGAUUCACUUCAUCUUAUGAUUCUUUUCUCAUAAAACAAGCAAGUAGAGUAGUCAAUUACUUAAGAAACGAACAAAACAUGACUACAGAACAAAGAAAAUCUUGUAGCCAACUCAAAUAAGCUACAGAGGAAACUUAUCGAAAUAAUAAUGGCGAUCAUUGCUCCUAUAUAUUAACCUGACUCAACAUAUAUAUGCUCCUCGCGGAACUACAAAAUCCAAACUGAAAACCAGCAGCACAUUUCCAACUAAUUGAAUUUGAAUUCAAGAAUAGAGAAGAAAAGGUUGAUAGAAGGAUACAGAGUAAAAUGCUCCGAAAAAGGUCUUUUACCAUUGUUGCACUAAACACAACAUAUUCCUCUACUGGCACUAAAACAACCCAUACAAAAUUGCAGGUACUGAGUUUAGCAAGGAUUUUUUGAUGAGCAGCGUAAAGAAACAUAAUAGAAUUAAAGCCUCAAUCGUAUCGGAGAGGCAGUGGCAUAUUUGAUUUGAGAGAGGAAAACUCCGAUCGUACAUCAUAUAGCUUACUCUAAAAUAAGGCAUCUUCAAUGAAUGAAAUUAAAAACCAUGACCAUAUUUUACAAUAAGAACUCAUAUUAAUUUUGAAACAAGAUGUUGAUCACAUAUCUAUCGUUCAAGAAAAAAAAAAGGGCAACCCGGUGCACUCAAGCUACCGCUAUGCGCGGUGUCCGGGGAAGGGCCCCACCAAAAGGGUGUAUCGUACGCAGCCUUACCUUGCAUUUUUGCCAAAGGCUGUUUCUAAGGCUUGAACCCGUGACCUCUUGGUCACAUGGAAGCAACUUUACCAGUUACUCCAAGGCUCCCCUUCCUAUCGUUCAAGAACAUUAUACAAAAAAAUUGAAGAACUACAAGCCAGUGAACAUGUCAAGGUUGUAACAUAGACUCGAGUCUCUAUGUAAGUUAUGUAGGAAGUUUCAGAUCACAAGGCCUGUUCUUUCACCAAAGCGACGUUACUUCUUACUAACACAUGAUAUUAUCUAUAGUAGCUUUCUCAUUCAUGGAAUGUGGGAUUCUUUAACCAAAGCAAUAGUACUUCUUUGUAACACGCAAUAUUAUCAAUAGUAGCUUGCUCUUGUAGCAUCUUUAUCAACUUCCAACGCCAAAUUGUAUGACUAACACAUAAGGCAGCUGCGACAUACUCGACUUUACAAGUUAAGAAAGGAACCGAAAAAAGAAAAAGAGAAAAAACAAGCGAAUAUAAUCAUAGGUUGCUUCUUAAGCACCAAAGUGAAUGUCAUUUCUCCAAAAGAAAAGAUUGUUGUGUAAAUCAUCGUAGCUAUGCGUAGGGUUGGGGCAAGAGGACCAGACCACAGGGGUGAGUAAGAAAGUGUGUAUAAUACUACGUUAAAAAAAGUUUUACUUGUGAAGAAGCUUGUGCUUCUUUUGCAGAAAUAAGGACAAAUAGUUUGAUUCGAUAUUUUCAAGGACAAAUAGUUUGAUUCGAUAUUUUCAAGGAAUCAACUAAGGAAAACUCAUUUUUCGUAUAUCGAAAACAAGAACUACUCAUAUGUUAGUUAAAACAAAAUUUGGAUUGUACAUAUUUGGAUCCAUUUUCUUUUCAUUUUUUCCUUAUUUUUUUGGAUUUUGGGAUUAAUAAAUAUUUCAAAUUAUUAUCUUGUGUUUCCUUUAUUAUAUUAUCAUCGAAAUAUUUUGGAUACGAGUAAAGUUGUUGUCAUGUGAGCUGCCCCUUGAAAAAAUGUAAGUUGAGGUUGCGUAAAAUAGAUCCUUGUGAUCAGCCCUUCCCCGAACACUGCACAUCGCGGGAGCUUAGUGCACUGGGCUGCCCUUUUUUGUUUUAAGAAAUAUUCUGGAUGCCAUAAAAACAUUUGCCUUUGAUAAAAAAGAAAAGCUAAUGCAUUUAAUUUGUUGUUUUUUUUAAUUGGAAGCAAGGAAUUUGUUCAACUUUUUUCACAGGGCCAUCAACAACAGUUAAUAGUAAACUCUGUCUACCAAUGCUAGAACAGAUCGGAAGAAAUCACCCUAGCGUUUAGCUUAUAGUGAAAAUUGAAUCCGAGACUUCACAGUGCACAACAAACUUCAUUGAACACUAGGCGACACCUUUGGAUGCUCCUAGGCGACAUCUUUGAAUUAAUAUUGUAAUUGUUUCUUUCAUCCAGAGAAAGCAAUCCUGCUAGAGAUGUUAGUGGUGGUGGAACCACACGUAGAGUCGGAGGGUAAUGAUCAUGAAGACAGAGCUAGUCGAGAUGAAAAAUUAGUCGAAAAAAUUAUGAAGACAACUCAAAUACAUUUAGUUGUGGCAACUAUCAAUUAAUGACACACUAAUAUUAACCAUUAUAUUGAAAUAAAGAAUAAUAUUAGAGUGCUCUUCUUGAUGAAUCUCCAAAAUAGAAAACUAAGUACCACUUUUUUCCUUUGACCCAAAGAAAGGCAUUUGUUACCUAAACUUAGCCUUCAUCAUAAGAAAGGGAUAACUUCUUUUUUGGGUUUUAUGUUUUAUAAUUUCAUUUGAGAUAAGCAUCUAGUACUCCUUGAACUAUGACCAAAGUUGCUACGACACACCCAACUUGUACGACCCGAACCGGGGCCCUGGCAAUGACGAGCAUUCCCGAACCCGAAGGCCCGAAAUGCCCUCUGUCUAUCUGGUAAUCAUGCUCAUAAUUCAUAUGAUCAAAGUAAUACGGAAUAGACACAAUAAUACGGAAACAUGGUCAACAAUUUAAGACAGUUAAAGGCCUGAAAACAUGCUCAACAAUAUUUAAUAAACAUCUGCAACAGUCUGCGAAAUCUCUACUGACAUACUAUCUGAAUAACUGGGACAAGGCCCCAGCAAACCAAAAACCAUACUGAAAUAAAUACCUAAAUGACUAGGCCUUCCGAAGCAAAGAAGGCUCACCAACUGAACUCUGAGACAACACUGUCUGUAGACUCUACUGAGGAUCUAGACCUCUAAACUACGCCUCAUUACCUGGGAGUAAGGGGGGUCAGCACAAUUGUACUGGCACGCGAAGAAAUCCAAAAUAGAGUAAUUGAACAUAUAUAUAUAUAUGUAUAUAUAUAUAUAUAUAUAUUUAUAAUACGUGAGAGCAAAUGUUCAUCAAACAUUAUGCAUAAAACAAUUUCUGAAAAAUACAUGGGUACCUGUCUGUAAAUCUCAAACUCUGAUCUGUGUAUUACUUUUGAGUUGGGUGGUAUCCCCUACAAGUCUGAUAUUCCACGGGCAAUAUGGAAUCCGCCAUUGACUCGGCGGGGAAGCCUCCAACCCGAGUAUGCCGCAAGGGUUGGAGUUCGUGAAUCUGAUACGCCACACGACACUUAAGUCAGCGUAUAAUAAUAUACUCGGCAAACCAUGAUUUUAGGCAAUGAGUUGCUUGAACUCAAUCCCUCUUCAGGGAACCACCUAACAUCUCUGUAUGCCCAUUUUUAACCUUUUCUAUANNNNNNNNNNNNNNNNNNNNNNNNNNNNNNNNNNNNNNNNNNNNNNNNNNNNNNNNNNNNNNNNNNNNNNNNNNNNNNNNNNNNNNNNNNNNNNNNNNNNNNNNNNNNNNNNNNNNNNNNNNNNNNNNNNNNNNNNNNNNNNNNNNNNNNNNNNNNNNNNNNNNNNNNNNNNNNNNNNNNNNNNNNNNNNNNNNNNNNNNNNNNNNNNNNNNNNNNNNNNNNNNNNNNNNNNNNNNNNNNNNNNNNNNNNNNNNNNNNNNNNNNNNNNNNNNNNNNNNNNNNNNNNNNNNNNNNNNNNNNNNNNNNNNNNNNNNNNNNNNNNNNNNNNNNNNNNNNNNNNNNNNNNNNNNNNNNNNNNNNNNNNNNNNNNNNNNNNNNNNNNNNNNNNNNNNNNNNNNNNNNNNNNNNNNNNNNNNNNNNNNNNNNNNNNNNNNNNNNNNNNNNNNNNNNNNNNNNNNNNNNNNNNNNNNNNNNNNNNNNNNNNNNNNNNNNNNNNNNNNNNNNNNNNNNNNNNNNNNNNNNNNNNNNNNNNNNNNNNNNNNNNNNNNNNNNNNNNNNNNNNNNNNNNNNNNNNNNNNNNNNNNNNNNNNAUGCGCCGCAUAUGAUAUCGCAUAUAUUUACAUAGUCGCCGCAUAUGAUAUCGCCUAUAUUUACAUAGGCUCCGCAUAUGAUAUCGCCUAUAGUUAUGCUUUCCAGUGGCCAUGUACGAUUGGUUAGGCGACGCAUACUAGUUUGAAAGGCCAUAAAUUCUUGUCGGGUGUCGGAUUUUAGCAAAAUUGGUAUCGUUGGAAAGUUAACUCGAAGACCUAUCAUUUGACAUAUAGUAGGCUCUCUAAUUCCACAUAUACAGAGAGCUAUGGUCGAUGGAAACUGACACAAAUUACAACAUCCACUAAAACUUAAUCGAUAGAAAUAGUUUCAACUCGUCCUUGAGUUGAAGGACCUCUAUGGUCUAAAUUCAUGCUCAAAUGGAUUCGCAUACUACAUAAACAUGUCAAAUUGGCAUAGGAUUUAAGGCUCUGGGAUUAUCAACGCAUUAGAGUCAUGGUUUUUCUUCUAGCCCAAAAUGCGGGGUGUUACAUUAUCUCCCCCUUGGGAUCAUUCGUCCCCGAAUGAUGGAUAGAAUGUCGAAGUCUUAAGGGUAUGGGAUAACGCGGACAUGAUAUGUUCCCUAAGAAAGAAUACACUGAUCGGAAACAUGACUACAAGAUUGGAACUACUGAUGUUUUAAAUGCUUAUGCCGGACAUGCAUAACCGAGGCAUGGAACACACGACUGAAGCUACUCAUAGGCUGAAUUCUCAUAAUGAAUCAUGCAUAUCUGAUGCAUGGAUCUGUGACCGAGUUGUUCUCAUGAAUGCAGGACUGAAUACACUGCUAAGCUGAACUUUUCUAUUGAACAUGCAUUUCUAAUGCAUACAUAUCUGACUGAACUGACGUAUGAACGUAUGGCUAUAUACGCAAUAAUAACUGAUGCGAAGCUUGUAAUAAGAAUCUAUGCAUGCAACUUAAUGGGGUAUCUACCCCUUGGUACCCUAUGUCCCUCUAUGAAUGCUCAAUUCACUAAGAUACUCAGAAAACUGAGGCGAUGCACAGGGCGCCUAUGAAUUAUACUCUAUCUUGGAAUAGUAGCAUGUUUGAGAUUUUGAGUAGCAUGAAUAUGUGCAAAGACGAGAGAACAAGUCAUGCGAAUCUAACUACUAAACUGACUUAUUGGCCAUAUAGACUGAAUUAUACUACAUCCUCAUACUUAACUGGAGUAUCUCUUCAUCACAAUUCUCUAAAGAAAUUCUAGUAGUAAUAGGGAGCCAUGAAUCUUGGGUCUGGAUUACAUAAGACAUCCAACUGAGGAAUCACUACAUUGACACUACUCUGUAGUCUGGAACAUAGGCAUAUAACUCCUGAAUUAGGAUAGAAUUACCAGGCCUUUGGCUUUACAACUUCUUACUUUCAAGCUUAUCACACUUCUCGAAUAUCACUUAACUAUACUAUUCUCCUUAAAUAUCAUAUUCAUUCAACUCAGCUUAAAAUUCUCAUAUGAUCAUUGACAAAUCUUUCUACUAAUGUCGGAAAUAACUUAAUCCCUUCACCGUGAUCAAGCCUAACUCUAAGUCACAAAAAUACAACAUGCCAGACCACGCUAUUAUUCUAAACCAUAUGAUNNNNNNNNNNNNNNNNNNNNNNNNNNNNNNNNNNNNNNNNNNNNNNNNNNNNNNNNNNNNNNNNNNNNNNNNNNNNNNNNNNNNNNNNNNNNNNNNNNNNNNNNNNNNNNNNNNNNNNNNNNNNNNNNNNNNNNNNNNNNNNNNNNNNNNNNNNNNNNNNNNNNNNNNACAUAUUCUCUAAACCACUAUCAAUAUCACUCCCACGAGCUACCCCAAGAACAUACACAUACAAAAUUCCACUAACCAUCACAUAAAUAAAAACUUGGCUCCAAAUCUUACUUCAUACUUAUGGCCUUAUCUAAACAAGCGUACUAUGAUCUUCCAUCAACAAGGAAUAAUUACUCACCACCACUAUCAUCGCACAAGGAGGAGUCACAAAAAGGUUAGAACAUAAGAUCUGGAGGCAUAGAAUGAUACAAUGUGAAGCUUGACAUUCAUCUGAGGCCUGAGGAAUAGCAAAACAACAACAGGGACACACCAAAGCGCUCUGAAUUUAGGGUAUUCGUGCCUAUAAGAUGAAUCUCGCCAAUCAUUUGGCGUAAAACAUGAGUUAUGAAAAUGGAGCACAUUAUAAAGCAUGAGUACAUGUGUUACGAACCAAACCAGGGCCUGGCCGUGACAAGCAUUUUGAACCAUUGAGGCCCGAAACACCCCUAUCUGUCUGGUAAUCAUGUACCUAAUUCAUAUGAUCAAAGAAAUGCAGAAAAAAACAACAAUUUGGAAACAUGGUCAUAAAUAUGAAAAGAGACAAUAACGGGGAGAUAAUGUUCCCUCAACAUUAAUUAUCCUCUGAACAACUAUCGAAAAUCUCUAACAAAUGACUGAAACAAUGUCUAUCUGAAAACUGGGACAAGGCCCCCAGUAGACCCAAAAACUGAAUAUAAGAUAAAAGAACUGCAGGACAUAAGACCUUCCGAAAUAUAGAAGGCUCGCCACUUGUCUCUACAGCUCUGUCUGAAAGUUCUACUGAUUCUCUUGACCCCUAGACUGGGCCUCUUAACCUGAGAGGUUGGAGAGGGGAGGAGGUCAGCACAAAACUACUGGCAUAUAGAGAUAUCAAAACAAAACAUAAUAUUUUUACAAAGUAUAGUUGAGAGCCAUUAUAAAGCAAUUUCGUAUCAAAUCAUUUGAUAACACAUGGGCAUAAUGCAAUAGUUUCUCAACAACAAUGAAAUGCAACUGAGCUAGGUGGAAUACCCUACAUAAUUUACACCAACUGUCAAACCUCAUUGAGAUUUGAGUAUAAGUGAGGGAGAGACACAUAAGAUCACAUAGCAUAGUGUCUCGACCCAAUGGUAGUGCCCAAGAUCACUUAGCUCGGGCUCCUACCUAUAGUCCAAAUUUGGGAAUGACAUAAAGUCAAGUACACAAGAUCACUUAGCCUGGUACCAAUAUUCCGUGCUGGCAAACACAUUUUUCCAGUAAUGAGCCCUUGUGUCUCAAACGCCUUCUUCGGACAUCCACUUAUAUCAUGUAAAAUCAAUGUAUUGAAACUUUAUUUGAUUCAAUCAUGUAUCGUAUUCUGUAGGGUAUCGUCAUACCUGACUUGCAAGUCAUCAAUAUCACAUCCACAUAUGCAUAAUCAUGUAAAAACCAAGGUGCUUCAUUAUUUACAAGUGGUGAAAAAUAAUUAUUUCAAAUUCAUGCUCUCUUUUGUUGAUCGCAAUAUAAUAUGGAGUAUCGAAACAUUAUCAUGGGAAUUUGAAAAUAAUUUAUUAUUCACAUUUAUGAAACUUCCGUGGAAAAUCUCAAAUCACAUAUGCAUGGUUUCAACCAUUGAAGUAUAUAGGCAAACAAUUCCCACGACAUAAAGAAAAAUGACUUAGAAAUCAUAUUGAAAGCAAGUUAUUAGCAUUUGAUUGAAAACCCCCAUUUAAAAGCAUGCAUGUUCAUAAANNNNNNNNNNNNNNNNNNNNNNNNNNNNNNNNNNNNNNNNNNNNNNNNNNNNNNNNNNNNNNNNNNNNNNNNNNNNNNNNNNNNNNNNNNNNNNNNNNNNNNNNNNNNNNNNNNNNNNNNNNNNNNNNNNNNNNNNNNNNNNNNNNNNNNNNNNNNNNNNNNNNNNNNNNNNNNNNNNNNNNNNNNNNNNNNNNNNNNNNNNNNNNNNNNNNNNNNNNNNNNNNNNNNNNNNNNNNNNNNNNNNNNNNNNNNNNNNNNNNNNNNNNNNNNNNNNNNNNNNNNNUAUUUCCAAGGAUAAUAGAUGUUUCUUGAAGCUUGCAGAUUGGUGAUUCCGAAUAUGUAAUUAUCUUUGAAAACCUACGGUCAAAUCUUGAACUAUUUGGGUUUUUAUUUUGAAACCCUAAGGAGAAUCUUGAGCACUUUUGAUGAAAGAAUAUGUAUUUUGGGGUCCUUGGAACUAAAUCUCGUGUUUUAGGGCUAAGUAAGGGUUGAAAAGGACCACUUUGUCCUCAACACGGAGUGUUUAAAUCACCAGAAUUCCUUACAUAGGCGCUGCCCAUCUCGUUGCCUAUGUUCACAUAGGCGCCGCCUAGGCUAUCGCCUAUGUUUACAUAGGCGCCGCCUAGGCUGUUGCCUAUGUUUUCCAGUGGCCAUGGGCGAUUGGUUAGGCAACGCUUAUCACUUUAAAGGGCCAUAACUUCUUGCUCGGGUGUCGGAUUUUCUCCAAAUUAGUAUCAUUGGAAAGCUAACUCGAAUACCUAUCAUUUGACCCAUAGUAGGCUUCAUAAUUCAACAUAUACAGAGAGUUAUGGUCAAUGGAAGCUGACACACUUUACAACGUCUACUAAAACUUAGUCGAUUGAAAUAGUUCCAACUCGUCCCUGAGUUGAAGGACCUCUAUGGUCUAAAUUCAAGCUUGAGCAGAUUCACAUGCUACACAAUAAUUAACAAGCCGUAUUGGCAUAGGAUUUUAUGGCUUCGGGAUUAGCAACGCAUCAAAAUCAUGGUCUAUAUUGUAGCCCGAAUUGCGGGGCAUUACAUUAUCCCCCCUUAGGAUCAUUCGUCCCCAAAUGAUGAUGCGGGACACAGAUAGACACAAUUUCAAGCAUAAUAAAGGACUAGGAAAGAUAUGAUAGGAAUAGUACUUUUUUUCUUCUCCUCCAUCGAAGCAAACAAAUUGGGAUAUCUGAGCUCCCAAGUUGCUUCUUCGACUAUCUAAUUCCUCCACAGUACCUUUACUGAGGGUAUCUCUUUGCUCCUCAGCUUUCGAACUUGGCGAUCUAAAAUUUCAAUGGGCUCUUCUUUGUAAGACAAGGAGUCUUUCACUUUGAUGCCCUAUACUGGCAAUACCAUAGAAUAAUCUCCAAUGCAUUUCCUCAACAUGGAUACAUGGAAUACCGAAUGAACGGAACCCAAACUUGCAGGCAAUUCUAACUCAUAUGCAACUGUACCAAUCUUUUUCAAAAUCUGAUAUGGCCCUAUAUAACGAGGGCUCAAUUUACCCCUUUUUCCAAAAUGCAUAACUCCUUUCAUAGGAGAAACCUUGAAAAACACCCAAUCACCAAUUUCAAACUCUAGUUCUCUUCUCCGAACAUCGGCAUAGAACUUCAAAUGACUCUGAGCAGUCUUGAGUCGUUCUCUAAUGAUUUUUACUUUCUCCAUCGCCUGAUGAACAAGAUCAGGCCCAUACAACUGAGUCUCACCCACUUCAUACCAUCCUAUCAGAGACCUACAUCUCCUCCUAUACAAGGCCUCAAAAAGAGCCAUCUUGAUGCUGGUAUGGUAGCUAUUAUUAUAGGCGAAUUCAACCAGUGGCAGGUGAUCUACCCAACUACCUUUGAAAUCAAUGAUGCAUUCCCUCAAUAUAUCUUCGAGGGUCUGAAUGGUACGCUCAUCUUGCCCAUCCAUCUAAGGGUGGAAAGUUGUGCUCAAAUUCACUUGUGUACCUAAACCCUUCUGAAAGGAUCUCCAAAACUGAGAUAAAAAUUACGUACCUCUGUCGGAUAUAAUGGGUACUGGUGCCCCAUGCAAUCGAACUAUCUCCUCAAUGUAAAUCUUAGCAUAAACCUCUCCCGAAUAAUUAGUCCUCACAGGCAAAAAGUGGGUUGACUUGGUCAAUCGAUCUACAAUCACCCAUAUAGAAUCAUACUGGUUUCGGGAUCUCGAAAGUCCUAUAAUGAAGUCCAUAUUUAUCAUCUCCCACUUUUAUAAAGGCUGGACUAUCUCUUGGGAAGUACCACCCGGCCUCACUUGUCCUUCAAUUUCUCAAAACUAUUUUCACACAAGUCAGACCACACAAACUUUAUCUUUUUCUGAGUCAGUUUAGUAAGCGGAGCAGCUAUGGAAGAAAAACUCUCUAUGAACCUUCUGUAAUACCCCGCCAAACCCAAGAAGCUCUGAAUAUCGGUUGGAGUCAUGGAUCUGGGCCAUUUUCUUACUACUUCAACUUUCUGGGGAUCCACUCUUAUCCCGUCACUAGACACAAUAUGCCCUAGGAAGGCAAUAGCGUCUAACCAGAAUUCACACUUUGAAAAUUUGGCAUACAGCUGAUGAUCCUUAAGGGUCUACAGGAUAAUUCGGAGGUGAUUGGUGUGAUCCUCUUUACUCUUAGAAUAGUUCAGAAUAUCAUCAAUAAAUACAAUGACGAACAAGUCAAGAAACUGACGGAACACAUACAACCUUUGGAGAAAAGCUUUCGGGCUCUAAGAUAAGAGAUAAAGUGACCGUGACCAUAUCGGGUUCGAAAGGCUGUCUUGGGUAUGUCUGACUCCCUAACUUUCAACUGAUGAUAACCCGAAUGAAGGUCUAUGUUUAAAAAAUACUUGGCACCCUGAAGCUGGUCAAAAAGGUCAUCAAACCUAGGAAUAGCAUAUUUAUUUUUAAUCGUGACCUUAUUCAGCUGACGGUAGUCUAUGCCCUUCCGAAGGGACCCAUCCUUCUUUCGCACGAAGAGCAUGAGUGCACCCCAUGGGGAAACACUAGGACGAAUAAAACCUUUGUCUAGGAGGUCUGUAAGCUAUUCCUUUAACUCCUUUAGCUCCGCAGGAGCCAUUCUAUAUGGUGGAAUAGAAAUAGAUGAGUUUAUGGCAACACAUCAAUGCCAAAAUUAUCUCCCUAUCAGGGGGUAUCCCUGGGAGAUCUUCGGGAAAGAAUUUUGGGAAUUCAUUCACUACAAGGACUGACCGCAGAGAAAGGUUUCCAACUUUUGAAUCUUUUACUUGGAUUAGAUAAUACAUACAACCUUUGGAGAUAAGCUUUCGGGCUCUAAGAUAAGAGAUAAAGUGACCUCUAGGUUCCACAGAACUCCCUACCCAAACAACUGGUGUCUCAUUCGAGAAAGAAAAAGUGACCUUUCGGGUUCUGCAAUCAAGGGUGGCAUAACACGAAUGGAGCCAGUCCAUCCCAAGGAUGGCAUCAAAGUCUAUCAUAUCNNNNNNNNNNNNNNNNNNNNNNNNNNNNNNNNNNNNNNNNNNNNNNNNNNNNNNNNNNNNNNNNNNNNNNNNNNNNNNNNNNNNNNNNNNNNNNNNNNNNNNNNNNNNNNNNNNNNNNNNNNNNNNNNNNNNNNNNNNNNNNNNNNNNNNNNNNNNNNNNNNNNNNNNNNNNNNNNNNNNNNNNNNNNNNNNNNNNNNNNNNNNNNNNNNNNNNNNNNNNNNNNNNNNNNNNNNNNNNNNNNNNNNNNNNNNNNNNNNNNNNNNNNNNNNNNNNNNNNNNNNNNNNNNNNNNNNNNNNNNNNNNNNNNNNNNNNNNNNCUGUGGAGGCGGCUUGGGACUCCCCGCAUUUACUCCAGCAGAUGGACAAUCUCUUUGAAGGUAACCCACUUUGUCACAAGUAUAGCAGUUUCUUCCCUCAAACCAGCACUUCCCUGAAUGAUUCCUUCCGCAAACCUCACACCGCGGACAAGUACAAUGCUACUGGGCCACACUUCCCUGAGACUGUGUACCUAGAGCUUUGGACCCAUGAGGAGUCUGAAAAUUCCGAGUUUGUCUAUCUGUUGGUGGUCUGGGUGCUGGGGUGCUGGCUGCUAACUAUGCAUUAUUCCAAAACUUCUUCUUUUUCGACCACUUAUUACCCCAGUUACCAUUCUGCGGCUGACUCUGGUGUUGGUCCGUAGAUCUAUCUCUCUUAGCCUGUCUGUCUUCCACUCUAGAUUCAGCAAUAUUUUUCUUCUUCUCUUCCACUUAAUGCAUAUGAACGGUCAGUCGAGCAAAGUCUAACUCCUUAUUCAACAUAGCCCCCUGGAACUCAAGUACCAGGUCAUCAGCAAGGCCAGAUGCAAACUUCCUCAUCCGGGCCUUCAUAUUACUAGUCAACUCUAGUGCAUAGCGGUCUAGUUUAUUAAACUUCAAAGUGUACUCCUAGACACUCAUACUUCCCUUCUUCAGAUUCAUAAACUCUUCCGCUUUGGCCUUCCUCAACUCUAGAGGAAAGAAUCAAUCAAAGAAGGCUUCCAAAAAUUCACCCCAAACUGUGGGCUCAUCACUUUCACCUUUUUCAUCUUCCCAAUCGGCAUACCACUGACUCGCAACAUCCUUGAGCUGAUAGGUUUCUAGCUCCACCCCUUCAACCUCAUCCACAUGCAUCACCUUAAAGAUCUUUUCCAUCUCAUCCACGAACUCCUGUGGAUCUUCCUUCACCUUGGUGCCAGUGAACUUAGGUGGGUUCAUCUUCAUGAAAUGUCCGACUCUAGUAGCCUUAGAUGUAAUAGAUGCAGACCCAACAUCUUCCGAUCGUUGGGAAUGGUUGGCUACCAACUGUGUCAGCAUAUGAAUAGACCGUCUGAAUUCUGCAUUUGAAAUAUCUCCCUAAGCAGUUGGGGGACGGUUGACAUUAGUCCACAGAGCUCGAGGUGGACCGGUCGGGACUGGAGGGACUCCCGAAGUAGGGAAAAAUUCUGGAGUGUGAGCCCUAUUAUGGGUCCGCAUCCCAUGGGUGGGAUGGACCUCAUCUACCUGAGCAUUCUGAUCGAUGAUACAACAUGGAGGCAUAACUAUGAUUCUAAAACACAAGUGAUCAUUGAUUAGGGGACAGUUCAGACUCUGAAGCACGAACUAAAUCACAAAGAUGGGAAACAUUUCCUAAAUACCUAUCAGCCUCCUGCUUAUAAGUGUGGCAUGCUACACACCCAUAAACAAGACUCUACCUUACGUGAUUUCGCAGACACCCUGGGACCAUGAACCGUGCUUUGAUACCAAGUUUUUCACGACCCAAACCAGGGCCUGGUCGUGACGAGCAUUUCGAACAAUUAAGGCCCGAAACACCCCUAUCUGUCUAGUAUUCAUGCACCUAAUUCAUAUGAUCAAAGAAAUGCGGAAAAAACACAAUAAUUCAGAAACAUGGUCAUAAAUAUAAAAAGAGACAAUAACAGAGAGAUAAUGUUCCCUCAACAUCAAUUAUCCUCUGAACAACUGUCUGCGAAAAUCUCAAACAAAUGUCUGAAACAAUGUCUAUCUGAAAACUGGGACAAGGCCCCAUUAGACCCAAAAAUUGAAUAUAAGAUAAAAGGACUACAGGACAUAAGACCUUCCGAAACAUAGAAGGCUCACCACUUAUCUCUAGAGCUCUGUCUGAAAGUUCUACUGAUUCUCUUGACCCCUAGAUUGGGCCUCUGAACCUGAGAGGUUGGAGAGGGGAGGGGGUCAGCACAAAAGUACUGGCAUGCAGAGAUAUCAAAAUAAAACAUAAUAUUUUUACAAAGUAUAGUUAAGAGCCAUUAUAAAGCAAUUUCGUAUCAAAUCAUUUGAAAGCACAUGGGUGUAAUGCAGUAGUUUAUCUCAACAAUAAUGAAAUGUAACUGAGCUAGGUGGAAUACCCUACAUAAUUUACACCAAUUGUCAAACCUCGGUUGCCGCCGAGAUUAGAGUAUAAGUGAGGGAGAGACACAAAAGACCACACAGCAUGGUGUCUCGACCCAAUGGUAGUGCCCAAGAUCACUUGUCUCGAGCUCCUACCUAUAGUCCAAAUUUGGGAAUGACAUAAAGUCAAGUACACAAGAUCACUUAGCCUGGUACCAAAUUCCCGUGUCGGCAAACACGUUCUUCCAGCGACGAGCCCUUGUGUCUCAAACGCCUUCUUCAGGCAUCCACCUAUCUCAUAUAAAAUCAAUGCAUUCAAACUUCAUUUGAUUCAAUCAUGUAUCGUAUAUUGUAGGGUAUCGUCAUACCUGACUUGCAAGUUAUCAAUAUCACAUCCACAUAUGCAUAAUCAUGUAAAAACCAAGGUGCUUCAUCAUUUACAAGUGGUGAACGAUAAUUAUUUCAAAUUCAUGCUCUCUUUUAUUGGUCACAAUAUGAUAUGGGGUAUCAAGACAUUAUCAUGGGAAUUUGAAAGCAAUUUAUCAUUCAUAUUUAUCAAACUUCCAUGGAAAAUCUCAAAUCACAUAUGCAUGGUUUCAACCAUUGAAGUAUAUAGGCAAACAAUUCCCAUGACAUAAAGAAAAAUGACUUAGAAAUCAUAUUGAAAGCAAGUUAUUAGCAUUUGAUUGAAAACCCCCAUUUAAAAGCAUGCAUGUUCAUAAAAACUACACCCAUGAGAUUUUAGGAAAAUCCCACGUACCUCGAUUACUAUGAAUAUUAGNNNNNNNNNNNNNNNNNNNNNNNNNNNNNNUCCAAAUAUGUAAUUAUCUUUGAAAACCUACGGUCAAAUCUUGAACUAUUUGGGUUUUUAUUUGAAACCCUAAGGAGAAUCUUGAGAACUUUUGAUGAAAGAAUAUGUAUUUUGGGGUCCUUGGAACUAAAUCUCGUGUUUUAGGGCUAAGGGUUGAAAAGGACCACUUUGUCCUCAACUCGGAGUGUUUAAAUCACCAGAAUUCCUUACAUAGGCGUCGCCCAUCCUGUUGCUUAUGUUCACAUAGGUGCCGCCUAGGCUAUCGCCUAUGUUUGCAUAGGCGCCGCCUAGGCUAUCGCCUAUGUUUACAUAGCUGCUGCCUAGGCUAUUGCCUAUGUUUUCCAGUGGCCAUGGGCGAAUUGUUAGGCGACGCUUAUCACUUUGAAGGGCCAUAACUUCUUACUCGGGUGUUGGAUUUUUGCCAAAUUGGUAUCGUUGGAAAGCUAACUCAAAUACCUAUCAUUUGACCCUUAGUAGGCUUCCUAAUUUGACAUAUACAGAGUGUUAUGGUAGAUGGAAGCUGACACACUUUACAACAUCUACUAAAACUUAGUCGAUCAAAAUAGUUCCAACUCGUCCUUGAGUUGAAGGACCUCUAUGGUCUAAAUUCAAGCUUGAGCGGAUUCAUAUGCUACACAAUAAUUAACAUGCCGUAUUGGCAUAGGAUUUUAUGGCUUCGGUAUUAGCAACGCAUCGAAAUCAUGGUCUAUAUUGCAGCCCAAAUUGCAGGGUGUUACAACAUGACUCUCUAUCGUAUGUAUGAACGUGAACUGAUCAUGGAACUAAAUCGUAAAGCAUGAGUAGGUAUUAGGAUCACUGAGAAAUACUGAGAUAGGAAUGGGUUGAGAUUCACCCUUACUUUUUGAUGUUCUAUAUCAUCAUGACAUCACUAUAAGAAUCUGAGAGUCUUACUUGGUUAUUCAUUUAGUCAUCUCCCCCUUAGCUUCAAUCCAUCAUCUUAAGUUUUGGGAGGUACCUUACUAGACUUUAAACUUAACUGCACUCACUGCACUCUGGGUUCUGAAAUAUGACAAUACACAAAAUUAAUAAAACUUAACCCGAAAGACCACACAUGAGAGUGGAAUGCCCACUGCUAACACUACCUCCUGAGGCACACUCUAACACUUACUAACUUCGAAUCUUCAUGAGUAUCCCCAAAGUUGAAGUGUACACCCUCUAGUGCCUCUACUCUUAUUUCUAUUAGCACAACUUUCAAGGACUCGAGCUUAGAUUAUAACACCUAACAUGGGUAUCACCAAGUCUUCAAUGAGCCACUCUAUUGCUAGCAUAGUCUACCAACAUAGAAACUUUAAACUUAUUUUCCUCUACCAUGAGAAUCAAGCUCAUGUCAAAAGGCUCAACGCUAUCAAUCAAAGGUCCUUAACUUGGCUAUUUAGAACACCAUAUACCAUCUAGCUAGUCUUUUUCCAUCUAGCAACUCAACGGUACUAGUAGCCACACAUAACAUGUAACAGCCUUAGAAAAAUACUACAGCUUCAUACGACCUUGGGCAUACUUCUACAUCACAUAUACAAUGUCAUACUUCAUUACGAAUCAAAUAAACUUAGGCACUUGCAUACACUGUUCAAGCCUAUAGAUCACUUCCAUAUAACUAGUAUCAUUAACCAAGGAAUCAUCACAUCCACCUCCAUGGCCAUCAAUUGUUUCAAACUUAAUGUCUAGUGCUAAACAUGAUUUACAACCAACCUUACACACAAUCCUCACUUAGAAACUAUGAAAUAAACAUCAAGAAACACUAGUACACUAGAAAUUCAUAACCACAAUCACAAUAAUGGAUCAUGACCUUACAGUUUUCCUUGUCAUAAUCCAUCAGCACGUACUAUUUCAACACAUCAAGCUUACAAAUCAAAUCCCAUGAAACAUGUAUCAUCAAUCUCUUUCCACUAUUCANNNNNNNNNNNNNNNNNNNNNNNNNNNNNNNNNNNNNNNNNNNNNNNNNNNNAAAUAUACUAAUCCUUCAAAUUGGGAUAUUCUACCCAAAUACUUCAAAAAUAUACUACAUACUUUCUCACAAGUAGUAUUAGUUUACAACUACCAAUGAGAAGAAGGUUAAGGGGUAAGGUCACAUAAUAGACAUGAUCAACCUUAAGCUUAUAUUAUAACCAUACAAUCUUAUCUACUUAUACGGCUUUCUCAUAUCACACUUACUUACCCCAAUGGGAAUUUAGACUACCUUCAGAUACCCCAUAUGACAAUGAGUCUAUACUUAAAAUUUACUGGCUAAUCUAGCCAUUUUCAUUCAUAGCAUAUAAGGGGUUUCUAUAACCACCUUAAAUAUCCACUCUGGGCUCUUUAUCUAUUUUGAAAGGAAGAAAACAAAUAACAUUCUAAGUCAACACUUCCUCCAUGGACUACCAUACAAUCCAUAAAUGGUACCACCACGAAAGGGUAAAUCAUUCUCAAUCAACGGUUAUUCAACUAUAAUAUUUAAUCACAAAAGUCACCCUCACUCUGACCUCUAACCUUAUGACUUCAUAUCACAAACUUCUUGGUCUAAUUUCACUACCAAUAGGUCAUGACACCAACACUCUAACUUAUACUACUACUCGGGUGGAAAUACAGUUCCAACAAACACAAGAACAACAAGAUGAAUAGCAAGUUGCUAGUGAAUCGAAAUAGGCCUUCCGCGGCUUCACUAGACUUUUUUUUCAACAACACAACGAUAUCAAGAUUACAAGAGAUAGAAUCUUGAUACACAAUAUUCAAUGACUCAAGAAUACACAUCUUACUUUUGUCUUAAUUGAACGCCUCAUAAGAACGAGGACACAAUUUUACACUAGGGAACUACUCUCCCGUCCUUUGUGGGACUUCUAAAAUUUCUGCUAGAUAAUCAGAGAAUAUCUAGAAACACCAGAGUGAGGAAGAAAUUAGGAUAACUUUUCUUUUCGUAUGGGUGACACCAUAGCACGAAUUAAAGUAUGAAGGAGGAACAUUCUGACUCUAUAGCACGAACUAGAACAUGAAGAAAGAGAGACAUUCCUAAAUGCCUUGUAGCCUCCUGCUUAUAAGUGUGGCGCACUACACACCCAUAAAUAAUACUCUACCCGACGCGAUUUUGCAGACACCUUGGGACCUUGAACCGUGCUUUGAUACCAAGUUUGUCACGACCCAAACUGGGGCCCUACCCGUGAUGAGCAUUCCCAAACCCGAAGGCCCGGAACGCCCUCUGUCUAUCUGGUAAUCAUGCAUAUAAUUCAUAUGAUCAAAGUACUACGGAAUAGACACAAUAAUACAGAAACAUUGUCAACAAUUUAAAAUAGUUAAAGGCCUGAAAACAUGCUCAACAAUAUUUAAUAAACAUCUGCAAUAGUCUGCGAAAUCUCUACUGAUAUACUAUCUGAAUAACUGGGACAGGGCCCCCAGCAGACCAAAAACCAUACUGAAAUAAAUACCUAAAUGACUAGGCCUUCUGAAGCAAAGAAGGCUCACCAACUGAACUCUGAGACAACCCUGUCUGCAGACUCUACUAAGGAUCUAGACCCCUAGACUGCGCCUCAGUACCUGGGAGGAAGGGGGUCAGCACAAUUGUACUGGCCCCCCUACAAGUCUGAUAUUCCACGGAAGAUAUGGAAUCCUCCAUUGACUCAGCGGGGAAGCCUCCAACCUGAGUAUGCGCAAGUGUAACGCCCCAUAAAAGGCGUGCAUAGAUUAGUCUUUAAUAUUGAACUCUUAGACUUAAAGACUUAAAAUUUUCUAAGUGUAAAAUGAGACUGAGUCAUUUUAGCUGGCAAUCUUUGGGAUACAACUUUUCAACCUUCUCGACAUCCAUUUUUAGAUUUUCAAGUUGCGUUACGAUCGGUAAAGCUCAUAGUGCAUCUCGGAUAAGUUUUGGAAUUUCUCAGAACACAUAAGGCUGCGUUUGGAUUUCAAAAUAGUAGCAAAACGCAUAGCCUAUUGCGCAGUUUUCAGCAUUUUAGGGUCAACUUCAAACAAUCAUAACUCCCUGUAUAUAUGAACUGUGUGAGGUAUAAUAUAUCAAACAAAAUAUCUUUGAGUCCUAUUUCAAAUACAGUUGGUUUCAUCCAAUUUGAUUAUAUGAGUAACACGUUAUAGUCGAUUUACUCCAGAUAAUCAAACUGUCAACUGAGAGACAGAUUUGACCUUAAUUGUUCCUUAGGGGUAUUUUGGUCAUCCUUCACCCGUAUAUAUACCACCAACACGGGAUUUAAUACCUCAAACACCAAAAUAAACCUUCAUUCAUCAAAAUUUCUCAAGAACACUCCUUAGGGUUUCAAAAUAAAAACCCAAAUAGUUCAAGAUUCGACUGUAGGUUUUCGAAGAUAAUUACAUAUUCGGAAUCACAAAUCCACGAGCUUCAAGAAACAUCUAGUAUUUUAGGAAAUAGAGGUAUGGGUGUAGUUUUUAUGAACAUGCAUGCUUUUAAAUGGGGGUUUUCAAUCAAAUGCUAAUAACUUGCUUUCAAUAUAAUUUCUAAGUCAUUUUUCUUUAUGUCAUGGGAAUUGUUUGCCUAUAUACUUCAAUGGUUGAAACCAUGCAUAUGUUAUUUGAGAUUUUCCAUGGAAGUUUGAUAAAUACGAAUGAUAAAUUGCUUUCAAAUUCCCAUGAUAAUGUCUUGAUACCCCAUAUCAUAUUCUGACCAAAAAAAGAGAGUAUGAAUUUUAAAUAAUUAUUGUUCACCACUUGUAAAUGAUGAAGCACCUUUAUUUUACAUGAUUAUGCAUAUGUGGAUGUGAUAUUGAUGACUUACAAGUCGGGUAUGACGAUACCCUAUAGAAUAUAAUACGUGAUUGAAUUAAAUAAAGUUUGAAUGCAUUGAUUUUACAUGAGAUAGGUGGAUGCCCGAAGAAGGCGUUUGAGUGUAAGGGCUCAUCGCUGGAAAUUGUGUUUGCCAACAUGAGAAUUUGGUACUAGGCUAAGUGAUCUUGUGUACUUGACUUUAUUCUCAAAUUGGGACUAUAGGUAGGAGCCCGGGCUAAGUGAUCUUGGGCACUACCAUUGGGUCAAGACACCAUGCUUCAUGGUCUUGUGUGUCUCUCCCUUACUUAUACUCUAAUCUCAGAAGCAACCGAGGUUUGAUAGUUGGUGUAAAUUAUGUAGGGUAUUCCACCUAGCUCAGUUACAUUUCAUUGUUGUUGAGAAACUAUUGCAUUUUGCCCAAGUGUUUUCAAAUGAUUUGAUAUGAAAUUGCUUUAUAAUGGCUCUCAACUAUAUUUUGUAAAAAUAUUAUGUUUUGUUUUGAUAUCUCUGCGUGCCAGUACUUUUGUGCUGACCCCCUCCCCUCUUCAACCUCUCAGGUUCAGAGGCCCAGUCUAGGGGUCAAGAGAAUCAGUAGAUCAUUCAGACAGAGUUGCAGAGACAAGUGGUGAGCCUUCUAUGUUUUAGAAGGUAUUAUGUCCUGCAGUCCUUUUUAUCUUAUAUUUAGUUUUGGGGUCUACUGGGGGCCUUGUCUCAGUUUAUAUACAGUUACUUGACUCAAUCAUUUGUUAGAGAUUUCCGCAGACAGUUGUUUAGAGGUUGAUUGAUGUUGGGGGAACUUUAUUUCCCCGUUAUUGUUUCUUUUCAUAUUUAUGACCAUGUUCCCGAAUUAUUGUGUUUCUUUCACAUUACUUUGAUUAUAUGAAUUAGGUGCAUGAUUACCAGACAGAUAGGGGUGUUUUGGGCCUCCAUGGUUCGAAAUGCUCAUCACGAUCAGGCCCUGGUUUGGGUUGUGAUAAACUUGGUAUCAAAGCACGAUUCAUGGUCCUAGGGUGUCUGCAAAAUCGUGUCGGGUAGAGUCUUAUUUAUGGGUGUGUAGCGCGUCAUACUUAUAUGUAGGAGGCUACUAGGCGUUUAGGAAUGUCUCUCUUUCUUCAUGUUCUAGUUCGUGCAAUAGAGUCAGAAUAUUCCUCUUUCAUACAUUAAUUCGUGCUAUGGUGUCACCCAUACAAAAGUAAAAAGUCAUCCCACAUUCUUUCCUUACUCUACUGUCCUCAGAUAUGUCUCAUUAUUGAGGUGAUUCAAGUACAUAAGUUUAGAAUCUCAAUGGUAUGGUCCUUUCUGAUUGUACAAUAUAAGAUUUAAAAUUUGUGCAAGGACUUGAUAAGAGUCCGUUAGUGCUUCAAUGUGUAUUGAUUUUGAUGUAAACGUUGAUCCUGAUGGAAUCGUGCUUUUCAGCUUGAGGUAUUAAUUGCAUUUAAUCCCCUUCAAAUUUAUGUUACAAAUGUCUUGCUUAAGGGGGGAUGAUGUGUAGUAGAAUGUUGGUGUUAGCAGCUUAUUCUCUAUGUAUAUAUAGCCUACUCUUGUUUUAGUUAGUUUCAAGCUUUUCAGAUUAUAUUGUAAACCUUAGUCUUUCUUUCCUUCAAUAAAGUUCUAUUAACAUGGUAUCAGAGCUAGUUCGAUCCAUGUCCUUUGAUUUGUUGGUUGAAGAUUUUGUAGCAGGCACCUACUGCGCGGAUCGAUUCGUUGAGGUGCUGCUGUAUUCGUUUGCUAUUUUCGUUGGGUUUUUUGGUUGGAUUGAUUCGUUGCUGUCUUCGUUUGCUGUCUGGUAUUGUUCGUCUUUCGUUCUUUUGCUUGCUGCCAUUGUUGUUCGUUCGGAAUUGUUCAACCUAGGGUUUUGCAUCUUUUUGUUUUUUUGAAUUGUUUGUGUGUUGCUGUGUUUACAAUGACUGGAAAGGAUGAUUCUCUCCAGUCCAUUAGUACUCAAUUAGAUGGUAAGAACUAUGCCUAUUGGAGUUAUGUCAUGAAGAAUUUUCUUCGUGGGAAGAAUAUGUGGGGUUAUAUCACUGGAGUAAAACCAAGACCUAUCGAUGAUAAAACUGAAAAUUUUGAUUUGUUGGUGGACUUAUGGGAAACUAAUAACUCCAAGAUUAUCACUUGGAUCAACAAUUCUGUAACUCAGUCAAUUGGUAUGCAAUUGGCUAAGUAUGACACAGCAAAGGAGGUCUGGGAUCAUUUGGAAAGACUGUACACUCAGUCUAAUUUUGCUAAGCAGUACCAGUUGGAGUAUGAUAUCCGUGCUCUUCAACAGCAUGAUCUCAGUAUUCAAGAUUUUUAUGCUGCCAUGUCGGAUUUGUGGGAUCAAUUGGCACUUACUGAAUCUGCAGAGUUAAAAGGUUUUGGGCCGUACAUUGCUAGACGGGAAGAGCAACGCUUGGUUCAGUUUUUGAUGGCACUACGUUCUGACUUUGAGGGCCUACGUGGAACAAUCCUUCAUCGAUCUCCCCUCCCUACUGUUGAUUCUGUGGUUCAUGAACUGAUUGCAGAGGAGACUCGUAUCAAGUCUCAAGUGGAUAAAGGGUCUAAAGUAACUACUACUCCUGUCGUGUUUGCUGCUUCAACUGAUCAGUCUAGGCCACCACGUACUCAGACUCGACAAUCUCCUAAAGUUGCAUUUGAUGAGUGUGCAUUCUGCAAACAGAAAAAUCAUUGGAAGGCUCAGUGUCCGUUGUUACUUAACAAGGUCAAACAGCCUCAAUCUGGGCAGCAACAGAAAUAUGGGCAGCAAAAGUCUCCGUCACGCUCCUCUGGUGCUCCUCCAUGGUCAUCUCGUCCUCCACAGUUCGCUGCUGCUGCACCAUCUGUAGAUGUUGAGUCUGUUAGCACUAUGCCACCUUCUGCGUUGGAUCCCCAGGUUUUCGAACAGUUCAGACAGUUCUUCGUUUCUAAUCCUACGGCCAUGUCAGCAUCUAUGUCUCAUUCGGGUUCAGUUUCUUCUAGUACCUCAGGUAUUCCUUCCUCCUUGUGGAUAUUGGAUUCUGGUGCGUCUCAUCACAUGUCCCCUCAUUUGUCAUCGUUUGGUUCUUUGUCACCCAUUUCACCAAUCUCUGUUAUGUCCGCGAGUGCUGUACCUAUGUCAGUCGAGGGUGUUGGUUCUGUUACUACCCCUCACAUUGUCCUCUCUGAUGUUUAUUACAUUCCCAAACUUGCUUUAAAUCUUGUUUCGGUCAGUCAGUUGUGUAAGGCUGGUAAUUGGGUGUUUUUUUCUGAUUCUGUUUGUGUUAUACAGGACCAACACACUCAGAGGGUGAUUGGGACCGGCCGUAGGUUGGGGGAACUCUAUGUCUUGGAGAAUCUCAAAGUGUCUGUAGUUGCUGCCUCUAGCAUAGAUUUAUCUUCUUUUCGUUUGAGUCCUUUGUCUUCUCAGUUUUAUCUUUGGCAUUCCAGAUUAGGACAUGUGUCAGUUUCACGUUUACGUUUUUUGGUCUCUAGUGGUGCUUUGGGUCAUGUGAACACUAGUGAUAUUUCAGAUUGUAGUGGUUGUAAACUGGCAAAAUUUUCUGCCUUACCGUUUAAUAAAAGUGUGUCUUAUUCUGUUGCUCCUUUUGAUAUUAUUCAUUCUGAUGUAUGGGGACCAGCGCCAGUAUCCACUAAGGGUGGAUCGACCUAUUAUGUUUCGUUUAUAGAUGACUAUACUCGUUAUACCUGGGUGUAUCUUAUGAAACGCAGAUCUGAUUUCUUUGGCAUUUACAACAACUUUAGAGCCCUUGUUAAAACACAACAUUCGGCUGUGAUAAAGUGUUUCAGGUGUGACUUAGGGGGUGAAUAUACCUCUAAUGACUUCACUCAGUUACUUGCCUCUGAUGGUACCAUACACCAGUCAUCUUGUACCGACACUCCUGAGCAGAACGGUCUGGCAGAAAGAAAACAUCGUCAUAUUGUUGAGACAGCACGCUCUUUACUUUUGUCUGCAGAGGUUCCUAGUAUUUUUUGGGGAGAAGCAGUUCUAACUGCUGUAUAUGUGAUUAAUCGUAUUCCUACUGCAUUGACUUCAGGGAUGUCUCCGUUUGAGAAACUAUAUGGUCACCCGCCGAAUUAUUCUGCAUUACGAGUUUUUGGAUGUACUUGCUUUGUUCUUCGUCCUCAUGUUGAACGAAAUAAGUUAGGGUCAAAAUCAGCUAUAUGUGUGUUUUUGGGGUAUGGUAUUGGACAAAAAGGAUAUCGUUGCUAUGAUCCUGUAAGUCAGAAAUUAUAUGUUUCACGACAUGUCACUUUUUUGGAACAUAUUCCUUUUUAUUCCAUUCCAGCUAAAACCCAUGAUGUGACAAAGUCAGAUAUUCGGCUUAUUGAUCCCUUUGGGAUUGACAUAGAGGUUCCAGUUCCGGAUUCAUCCAUGCCAUCUGGUGUGCCACCUGAUAGUGCUUCAGCCUCGCCUGUGCCUGAGUCUGCUCCUUCGACUGUUGAGACUGGAGACCCACCACCUCUGAGGAGGUCUACUCGACCUUGUAAGUCCACCAAACUGCCAGAUUUUUACUAUUCUACAUAUUCAGCCUCAUUUGCUUCCUUUAUUGCAAACAUACAUCAUUUGUCUGAACCUGAGUCGUAUAGAGAGGCUGUGUCUGAUCCUCUUUGGCAGAAUGCUAUGGCUGAGGAACUUGCUGCUCUUCAUCAUACACAUACAUGGGAUUUGGUUACUCUCCCACCUGGUAAGCAUGCGAUUGGUUGUCGAUGGGUGUAUAAGAUAAAAACAAAAUCUGAUGGGUCUGUUGAGCGAUACAAGGCAAGACUUGUGGCAAAAGGGUAUUCACAACAAUAUGGUAUGGAUUAUGAGGAGACUUUUUCCCCCGUAGCAAAGAUGACGACUGUUCGCACUAUGAUUGCUGUUGCAUCCGUUCGACAGUGGAAGAUAUUUCAGAUGGAUGUCAAGAAUGCUUUUCUGAAUGGUGAUCUCCACGCGGAAGUUUAUAUGACUCCUCCCCCAGGUAUUGACCACCAGCCAGGUGAAGUUUGUCGGCUUCGAAAAGCUUUAUAUGGUCUCAAACAAGCCCCUCGUGCUUGGUUUGAGAAAUUCUCCACUGUUAUUACUUCCCUUGGAUUUGUCCCGAGUAACCAUGAUUCAGCAUUGUUUGUUAGAUGUACAAGUGCAGGGCGAAUUCUAUUGUCCUUAUAUGUAGAUGAUAUGAUUAUUACUGGUGAUGAUCAUAGUGGUAUUGAGUUAUUGAAGCAUGAUUUGGCUCAUCGAUUUGCAAUGAAGGACUUGGGCUUGCUGCGUUAUUUUCUGGGUAUUGAGGUGGCUCAGUCUAAGAAAGGGUAUCUUCUUUCUCAGACUAAGUAUAUAUCUGACUUGUUUACACGGGCGCGUCUUUCUGACAACAGGACUGUAGAUACUCCCCUUGAAACCAAUGCACGUUACUCUCCUAGUGAUGGUGUUCCAUUAUCAGAUCCGAGUCUUUAUCGGACUAUUGUGGGUAGUUUGGUUUAUCUUACGGUUACUCGUCCAGAUAUAGCACAUGCAGUUCAUGUUGUUAGCCAGUUUGUUACUGCUCCUACUUCUGUGCACUGGGGAGCUGUACUUCGUAUUCUAAGGUAUCUUCGUGGCACUCAGUUUCAGAAUCUCUUGUUUCCCUCGACGUCAUCUCUCGAGUUGCGAGCCUAUAGUGAUGCUGAUUGGGAUGGAGAUCGCAAUGAUCGUAAAUCCACCACUGGUUUUUGUGUGUUUCUUGGAGACUCUUUAAUCUCGUGGAAGAGCAAGAAACAAGAUGUUGUCUCUAGAUCUUCCACGGAGGCUGAGUAUCGUGCUAUGGCUGUGACUACAUGUGAGAUUAUUUGGUUACGUUGGCUUCUUGCAGAUAUGGGGGUUCACAUUUCUAUGCCUACUCCCCUGCAUUGUGAUAACAAAAGUGCGGUACAAAUUGCAAAGAAUUCUGUCUUCCAUGAGCGUACGAAGCACAUUGAGAUUGAUUGUCACUUCACCCGUCAUCAUUUACAGCUCGGGACCAUAUCGCUUCCUUUUGUUCCAUCGUCUUUGCAGAUUGCUGACCUUUUUACGAAGGCUCAGUCGGCGUCUCGAUUUCGUUUUUUGUGUGACAAACUCUCAAUGCUUAUUGCUGUUGCAUUGUGAGUUUGAGGGGGGAUGUUAGCCCAUAUGUUAUUGGGCCUUUAGUUUAUGGACCUUUAGGUUAUUGGCUAUGUAUAUAUAGCCUACUUUUGUUUAGUUAGUUUCAGGCUUUUCAGAUUAUAUUGUAAACCUUAGCCUUUCUUCCCUUCAAUAAAGUUCUAUUAACACCUAUAUAGUCCGGUAAUUUGUUCUUUCGUAUAUCCAAAUUCAAUAUUCCAUUUAUGUAUCCAUGGAAUAGAGAAUUCAAUGAAGAAAUACAUCUGAUCGAUCUUAUCUAAAUUACAUACAUGAUCAGAAUGAUAUAAUUCUGUCAGGAAAGGUGAAACUUUAAUCCAUUCUUUAUAUAUGAGGGGGGAUGUUAGCCCAUAUGUUAUUGGGCCUUUAGUUUAUGGACCUUUAGGUUAUUGGCUAUGUAUAUAUAGCCUACUCUUGUUUUAGUUAGUUUCAAGCUUUUCAGAUUAUAUUGUAAACCUUAGCCUUUCUUCCCUUCAAUAAAGUUCUAUUAACAGUUGCAACUGUAUUUUCACCUGAAUAGUAGUAUGCGUUAAAGUGUUGUUGUCAUGACCUAUUGGUAGUGAUAUUGGACCAAGAAGUUGGGGAUGUGAAGUCACAAAGUUAGAAGUCAGAGUGAGGAUGACUUUUGUGUAAAUGAAUAUUUUAGUUGAAUAACCGAUGUUCGAGAAUGAUUUACCCCCUUUAUGGUGAUAGACUAAUGUGGUAGCUAGUAGCAUGUGUGGAUUGUAUGGUAGUCUGUGGGGGAAGUGUUUGACUCAGAUUUUUAUUUAUACAGAGUAAGAUGUGUAUCCUUAGAUCAUUGAAUAUUGUGUGUCAAUUUUCUAUCUCUUGUAAUAUGUAAUCUUAUUAUCAUGGUGUUUUUGAAAAAAAUCAAAGUCUAGUGAAGCCGUGUGGGGCUCUUUUGAUUCACUAGCAUAGUUUUUUUGUUAUGCAUUUCAUUUCUUGUUCAAAACACAAAAAUCAAAGUCUAGUGAAGCCGUGUGAGGCCUAUUUCUAUUCACUAGCAGCUUGCUAUCCAACUUGUUGUUCUUGUGUUGGUUUAAUAUAUGUAUAGCUGAAUCUGUUUGCAUGAAAUUGAGUAAGUAAUUAGGAGGUGAGAGAUCAGUAUAAGUAGAUAAGAUUAUAUGGGAUUAUAAUAUCAGAUUAAGGUUAACCAUGCCUAUUAUGUGAAUUUACCCCCCCUUGACCUUCUUUUGUUGGUAGUUGUAAACUAGUACUACUUGUGAGAAGAUAUGUAGUAGAUAUGUGAGGUAUUUGGAUAGAAUGUUCAGAUUUGAUGGACUAGUAUUAUGUUGCCUUCUUCAUUGAUGGUAGAUGAUUGAUGCUAGACUAUUGGCUUGAAUUUAAUGUAGAAUGUGGAUGUCGGAAUAGUGAAAUGAGAUUGAUAGUGUUGGGCUCUUUUAUAUGAUCUUGAUUCUCAUAGUAAUGAGAUAUAAGUUCGGAGUCGCGAUAUUGGUAGGCUAUGAUGAAAGUGGUAUGGUUCAUCAAAGGCUCGGUGAUAUCCAUGUUAAGUGUUAGAAAUCUAAGUUUGAGCUUUAAAGGUUGAACCGAUAGAAAUAAGUGUGCAAGCAUCAUACUAUGACUAUUGGGGCUAUCGAAAUAUAGAGUGUAUCUCAGAAGGUAGUAUUAGCAGUGGGAUUUCCACUUUCAUGUGUGGUCUUUCGGGUUAAAUUUCUAUUUAAUUAUGUGUAUUGUUGUAUUCCAUACCCCAGAGUGUGGUGAGUGUAGUUCGGCUUAGAGUCUAGUAUAAGGGAUCUCUUGAACUUAAUAUGAUGGCUUAAAGCCAAGGGGGAGAUGAUANNNNNNNNNNNNNNNNNNNNNNNNNNNNNNNNNNNNNNNNNNNNNNNNNNNNNNNNNNNNNNNNNNNNNNNNNNNNNNNNNNNNNNNNNNNNNNNNNNNNNNNNNNNNNNNNNNNNNNNNNNNNNNNNNNNNNNNNNNNNNNNNNNNNNNNNNNNNNNNNNNNNNNNNNNNNNNNNNNNNNNNNNNNNNNNNNNNNNNNNNNNNNNNNNNNNNNNNNNNNNNNNNNNNNNNNNNNNNNNNNNNNNNNNNNNNNNNNNNNNNNNNNNNNNNNNNNNNNNNNNNNNNNNNNNNNNNNNNNNNNNNNNNNNNNNNNNNNNNNNNNNNNNNNNNNNNNNNNNNNNNNNNNNNNNNNNNNNNNNNNNNNNNNNNNNNNNNNNNNNNNNNNNNNNNNNNNNNNNNNNNNNNNNNNNNNNNNNNNNNNNNNNNNNNNNNNNNNNNNNNNNNNNNNNNNNNNNNNNNNNNNNNNNNNNNNNNNNNNNNNNNNNNNNNNNNNNNNNNNNNNNNNNNNNNNNNNNNNNNNNNNNNNNNNNNNNNNNNNNNNNNNNNNNNNNNNNNNNNNNNNNNNNNNNNNNNNNNNNNNNNNNNNNNNNNNNNNNNNNNNNNNNNNNNNNNNNNNNNNNNNNNNNNNNNNNNNNNNNNNNNNNNNNNNNNNNNNNNNNNNNNNNNNNNNNNNNNNNNNNNNNNNNNNNNNNNNNNNNNNNNNNNNNNNNNNNNNNNNNNNNNNNNNNNNNNNNNNNNNNNNNNNNNNNNNNNNNNNNNNNNNNNNNNNNNNNNNNNNNNNNNNNNNNNNNNNNNNNNNNNNNNNNNNNNNNNNNNNNNNNNNNNNNNNNNNNNNNNNNNNNNNNNNNNNNNNNNNNNNNNNNNNNNNNNNNNNNNNNNNNNNNNNNNNNNNNNNNNNNNNNNNNNNNNNNNNNNNNNNNNNNNNNNNNNNNNNNNNNNNNNNNNNNNNNNNNNNNNNNNCUAAGCUUGAAAGUAAGAAGUUGUAUUGCCAAAGGUCUGGUAAUUCUAUCCUAAUUUAGGAGUUAUAUGUCUAUAUUCCAGACUGUAGAGUAGUGUCAAUGUUGUGAUUUCCUCAGUGGGAUGUCUUGUGUAAUCCAUACCCAAGAUUUGUGGCUCCCUAUUACUGUUAGAACUUCUUUAGAGAGAGCGUUGAAGAGAUACUCCAGUUAAGUAUGAGGGUCAAGCAUAAUUCAGUCUGUAUAGCCAGUAAGUCAGUUUAGCAGUCAGAUUUGCAUGACUUGUUUUCUCGUCUUUUCAUUUAUUCAUGCUACCCGAAAUCUCAGACAUGAUAUUAUUCCAAGAUAGAGUAUACUAGUAAUUGCGAGUAUAGCUCAGUUCAUGCUUCAUGCAUUAGAUUCAAAAUCCAAAGGUUCAGUUAUGAAUCAAAUCGUAGGUGCCUUGUGCAUUGCCUCCAUUUUCCGAGUAUCUUAGUGAAUUGAGAACUCAUAGAGGGAUAUAGGGUCCCAAGGGGGAGAUACCCCAUUCGGUUGCAUGCAUAGGUUCUUAUUACAAGCUUCGCAUCAGUUGUUAUUGCGUAUUCAGUCAUACGUUCUUGUGUCAGUUCAGUCAGAUAUGCCUGCAUUAGAAAUGCAUGUUCAAUAGAAAAAGUUCAGCUUAUCAGUGUAUUCAGUCCUGCGUUAAUGAGGAAAACUCAGACACAGACCCAUGCAUCAGAUAUGCAUGUUCGGUAUAAGAAUUCAGAACAUCAGUAGUUCCAGUCUUAUAGUCAUGUUUCAGAUCAGUGUAUUCUUUAUUAAAGGACAUGUCAUGUCGGCGUUAUUCCAUAGCUUUAAGGCUUCAACAAGUUCCUAUCCAUCAUUCGAGGAUGAAUGAUCCCAAGGGGGAGAUAAUGUAACGCCCCGUAAAAGGCAUGCAUAUAUUAGUCUUUAAUAUUGAGCUCUUAGACUUAAUGACUUAAAAUUUUCUAAGUGUAAAAUGAGACUUAGUCAUUUUAGCUGGCAAUCUUUGGGAUACAACUUUUCAACAUUCCUGACAUCCGUUUUUAGAUUUUCAAGUUGUGUUACGAUCGGUAAAGAUCAUAGUGCAUCUCGGAUAAGUUUUGUAAUUUUUUGGAAUGCAUAAGGCUGCGUUUGGAUUUUAAAAUAGUAGCAAAACGCAUAGCCUAUUGCCCAGUUUUCAGCAUUUCAGGGUCAACUUCAAACAAUCAUAACUCCCUGUAUAAUGAACUGUGUGAGCUAUAAUAUAUCAAACGAAAGAUCUUUGAUUCCUAUUUCAAAUGCAGUUGGUUUCAUCCAAACUUAUUAUAUGAGUAAAACGUUAUAAUCGAUUUACUCCGGACUGUCAAACCGUCAACUGAGGGACAGAUUUGACCUUAAUUGUUCCUUAGGGGUAUUUUGGUCAUCCUUCACCCUUAUAUAUACCACCAACAUGGGAUUUAAUCCCUCAAACACCAAAAUACACCUUCAUUCAUCAAAAUUGCUCAAGAACACUCCUUAGGGUUUCAAACUAAAAACCCAAAUAGUUCAAGAUUUGACCGUAGGUUUUCGAAGAUAAUUACANNNNNNNNNNNNNNNNNNNNNNNNNNNNNNNNNNNNNNNNNNNNNNNNNNNNNNNNNNNNNNNNNNNNNNNNNNNNNNNNNNNNNNNNNNNNNNNNNNNNNNNNNNNNNNNNNNNNNNNNNNNNNNNNNNNNNNNNNNNNNNNNNNNNNNNNNNNNNNNNNNNNNNNNNNNNNNNNNNNNNNNNNNNNNNNNNNNNNNNNNNNNNNNNNNNNNNNNNNNNNNNNNNNNNNNNNNNNNNNNNNNNNNNNNNNNNNNNNNNNNNNNNNNNNNNNNNNNNNNNNNNNNNNNNNNNNNNNNNNNNNNNNNNNNNNNNNNNNNNNNNNNNNNNNNNNNNNNNNNNNNNNNNNNNNNNNNNNNNNNNNNNNNNNNNNNNNNNNNNNNNNNNNNNNNNNNNNNNNNNNNNNNNNNNNNNNNNNNNNNNNNNNNNNNNNNNNNNNNNNNNNNNNNNNNNNNNNNNNNNNNNNNNNNNNNNNNNNNNNNNNNNNNNNNNNNNNNNNNNNNNNNNNNNNNNNNNNNNNNNNNNNNNNNNNNNNNNNNNNNNNNNNNNNNNNNNNNNNNNNNNNNNNNNNNNNNNNNNNNNNNNNNNNNNNNNNNNNNNNNNNNNNNNNNNNNNNNNNNNNNNNNNNNNNNNNNNNNNNNNNNNNNNNNNNNNNNNNNNNNNNNNNNNNNNNNNNNNNNNNNNNNNNNNNNNNNNNNNNNNNNNNNNNNNNNNNNNNNNNNNNNNNNNNNNNNNNNNNNNNUGGGUCGAGACACCAUGCUUUGUGGUCUUAUGUGUCUCUCCCUCACUUAUACUCUAAUCUCGGCAGCAACCGAGGUUUGGAAGUUAGUGUAAAUUAUGUAGGGUAUUCCACCUAACUCAGUUGCAUUUCAUUGUUGUUGAGAAACUAUUGUAUUAUACUCAUGUGUUUUCAAAUGAUUUAAUAUGAAAUUGUUUUAUAAUGGCUCUCAACUAUAUUUUGUAAAAAUAUUAUGUUUUGUUUUGAUAUCUCUAUGUGCCAGUACUUUUGUGCUGACCCCAUCCCCUGUCCAACCUCUCAAGUUCAGAGGCCCAAUCUAGGGGUCAAGAGAAUCAGUAGAUCAUUCAGACAGAGUUGCAGAGACAAGUGGUGAGCCUUCUAUGUUUCGGAAGGUCUUAUGUCCUGCAGUCCUGUUAUCUUAUAUUUAGUUUUGGGGUCUACUGGAGCCUUGUCCCAGUUUAUACACAGCUACUUGACUCAUUCAUUUGUUAGAGAUUUUCGUAGACAGUUGUUUAGAGGUUGAUUGAUGUUGGGGGAACUUUAUUUCCCCGUUAUUGUUUCUUUUCAUAUUUAUGACCAUGUUUUCGAAUUAUUGUGUUUCUUGUGCAUUACUUUGAUCAUAUGAAUUAGGUGCAUGAUUACCAGACAGAUAGAGGUGUUUCGGGCCUCCAUGGUUCAAAAUGCUCGUCACGUCCAGGCCCUGGUUCGGGUCAUGAUAGCAAGGGUUGGAGUUCGUGAAUCUGAUAUGCCACACGACACUUAAGUCAGCGUCUAAUGAUAUACCCGGGUCAGCAAACCAUGGUUUUAGGAAAUGAGUUGCUUGAACUCAAGCCUUCUUCAGGGAACCACCUAACAUCUCUGUAUGCCCAUUUUUAACCUUUUUUGUAAUGCAACAGUCUGUCUAAAAUCAUGAUAGUCUGAAAUGUCUAUUAGUCUGAGUCUGAUAUGACAUUGGUCUGAAUUGGUAUCGUCAUACCAAGACUUGCAAGUCAUGAUUUCUGAGCCAUAAUACAUUAAGCUAAAUCUUUCAUUUAAAGCAUAAUUUAGACCACCAAAAACAUGCAACUGAUAUAGAAGAUUUNNNNNNNNNNNNNNNNNNNNNNNNNNNNNNNNNNNNNNNNNNNNNNNNNNNNNNNNNNNNNNNNNNNNNNNNNNNNNNNNNNNNNNNNNNNNNNNNNNNNNNNNNNNNNNNNNNNNNNNNNNNNNNNNNNNNNNNNNNNNNNNNNNNNNNNNNNNNNNNNNNNNNNNNNNNNNNNNNNNNNNNNNNNNNNNNNNNNNNNNNNNNNNNNNNNNNNNNNNNNNNNNNNNNNNNNNNNNNNNNNNNNNNNNNNNNNNNNNNNNNNNNNNNNNNNNNNNNNNNNNNNNNNNNNNNNNNNNNNNNNNNNNNNNNNNNNNNNNNNNNNNNNNNNNNNNNNNNNNNNNNNNNNNNNNNNNNNNNNNNNNNNNNNNNNNNNNNNNNNNNNNNNNNNNNNNNNNNNNNNNNNNNNNNNNNNNNNNNNNNNNNNNNNNNNNNNNNNNNNNNNNNNNNNNNNNNNNNNNNNNNNNNNNNNNNNNNNNNNNNNGACUGAAUUUCGUGUUUAUGGCUGAAUAAGGGUGAGAAAAGAACCAUUUUGCCCAAAAAACGGAGUGUUUAAGUCACUUAAAACAUAAGAUAUGCGCCGUAUAUGAUAUCGUAUAUAUUUACAUAGGCGCCGCAUAUGAUAUCGCCUAUAUUUACAUAGGCGCCGCAUAUGAUAUCGUCUAUAUUUACAUAGGCGCCGCAUAUGCUUUCCAGUGGCCAUGUGUGAUUGGUUAGGCGACGCAUACUACUUUGAAAGGCCAUAACUUCUUGCUCGGGUGUCGGAUUUUAGCAAAAUUGGUAUCGUUGGAAAGUUAACUCGAAGACCUAUCAUUUGACACACAGUAGGCUCUCUAAUUCGACAUAUAUAGAGAGUUAUGGUCAAUGGAAACUGACUCAAAUUACAACGUCCACUAAAACUUAAUCGAUCGAAAUAGUUUUGAAAUCAUCCUUGAGUUGAAGGACCUCUAUGGUCUAAAUUCAUGCUCAAAUGGAUUCACAUACUACAUAAACAUGCCAAAUUGCCAUAGGAUUUAAGGCUCUGGGAUUAUCAACGCAUCAAAGUCAUGGUUUUUAUUCUAGCCCGAAAUGCGGGGUGUUGCACAACUUCACAGGGGUCCUGAACUCAAUUUAAGUGUAUUUUUGUCACCCUUUUGUGCUGACGUAACACCUUUAUUACAUAAAAUUGGGGUCAAUUCAAAGCUGUCAUAUCAGAUAAAAAGGUUGAUAAAAGGUGUCACGUCAGCUAAAAAGAUUGACAAAAAUACGCUAAAAUUUAGUUCAAGGGGUAAUAGAACACCUAUGAAGUUAGAGUGUGUCGUAGCAAAUUCGGUCAUAGUUCAUGAAACCUAUAUUUUGUAAGGCUAUACGUUUUUAGCAUAAACAUAUCUACCAUUGUUUUCUAUGAAGUAGAAAACCUUAUACUCCUAGUCAAGAGUUUAUGUUAUGUCGAAAAUAAUUUUUACGCUAUCAAGUUAUAUUGACAUGCACUAACAGUUAAUUGUCCUCGUCAACAACAAUAUAUUAAAUUUACGACAGCAAUGUUAGAACAUACAUGGGUGGAUUCACAACGUUGGUUUUAUGGAUUCACCAUUUGAAUCUAAUGGAUAAAUAUUUUGACUUGAGAACCCAUUAAUUUAAGUUAUGUACAAAGGAAUUUACUACCGGAAACCAAACACUGUAUCAGUUAUGCAGAGAUUAUAUAAUCAUUAACAGAUAAAAGGCAUGUAAAUUGCGAGCACAGUAUUCUCAACAUGAACAUGUAUAUAUGUGUGAGUCUCUUUGUGUUGCUGAUAAAGAUGGACUAUAUGUGUUAUUCUCAACGGAAGCUUUAUGCACCGAGCUGCCUUUUUCCUUGUGUGUGUGUGUUAUAUAGAGAGCGAGAGGAAGAGAGAAAAUCCACUAACUAUCAACAAAUAUAAUAUUUUAAAUCCAUAAUUUCUAAAGUACAAUAAGUACAGCUUCAAGAAUUUCGAAGGUUGAAUCUUUCAAGUUUAAGUCCUGCAGAUGACUGUCUAUAUCUGUGUCUGGAACUUCGGAUAGCAUGUAUCCUGGAAAUUUCAUUGCAUCUUUUAAGGCAUAUUUCUUAUCACAUUUAGUUGGUUUAUCGUAGUAUUCUGUUGUAGUUAUUGUUCCUUUAAUUUGGUGCACCGGGCUGCUUUGAAUUGUUUUUCCUUGCGCUGAAGGUCUUAUCAAAAUUCGGAAAUUCUCCCCAAACUCCACUUGCUGUUGCUGUACCAUGAAUUAUUUAGUGAAGAUACAUUGGGUCUAUAGCAUUGUCGGUGCCGAAAAAAUGAUCUUACAUAAAUUGUUAUAUCAUGUGAUAAAGGAUGUAUUGGUAAAAUAACAUGUAAUUCUUCGGUCAUUCAAGGUAUUCGGUAAAAACUGAAAUAAGUAGUUGAAUUAUACAUUUGGAAGAAAUAUCAAAUUCUUCUUAAACUCAUCAUCAUAUAUAUUUGGAGCAAUAAGUACAAGUAGUAGCUCGCAUUCAUGCCUCCCUACUCGCUUAUAUUCUUCAUCUUACUCUCAUCAUAUUUUUCUCCAAGUAUAAAUAAAAGCCAAGAAGUACAAUAAAAUAGAGAGGCAACCUAUGAAACAGACAGUAACGGCAAGACCAAGUGAAUGUGAUAAAGUAGCAAACAUACCAGUUGCGAAUGCAAUUACAACUGCUAACAUUGACAAGCACAGGCAAACAACUGAGAGAUGAUAAAGCUUCUCUAAAGUUUUCGUACCUUCAGGAUCUAUACUUACAUCUGCCAUGAGGAAGUAGAUGAAUAUGGCAACAGCUGAGCAUGUGAAGGCAAUGGCAUCGGAAACAACAAAUGCACGAAAUGCUGUUUUCCUUGUUAGAAUCGCCAUCCCUUGAUUAUGGCUAUCGGAGUCACUCACAAAACCUCCUGGCAAUGUGAUGCCAGCGGCGAAAGUGACUGUCAUUAAUAAAGUCGCCACGACAAUAUGGAAUUGAGCUGACUUCAUAAUACUUUUGAUUACUGUUUGAUAUGCCUUUUUAGCUUUAUCGUGAUCAUCUUCCCUCAGUUGCAUUUUGCCUACUGUUCCCGUUUCAGCAUUUGGAUUGGGCAUGUACUCUUCCUUCCGCUUUACCUCAAAGUCACGUUUUCCAAAUCGGCCAAUGCUACACAAUUCCUCCAUCAAUUUCUCCUAUUUUCAUCAAUAGGACAGUUUAUAGUGAGUCGGUCGAAAAAUUUAACUGAGAACUAAUCUGUUCAUAGCUUAGGAGGCAAUGAUAUCAUCUAAAAUAAAUUACAGUUUUACUUGACCACAUCAAGAAUGGUCAGAAAGAUAAGUUGGAUCUAUAAAAGCAUUGUUAUUAAAAGUUAAAAGAGUAUUCCAUAGCAAUGCAACCAGUAUUUGAAAAACAAAUGUGUGACUGACUGCUUACCUUCUUUGUCGCUGCUUUGCAUGACAAUGCUAUAUCAAGUGGAGUCUGGUUUUGUUUGUUAAAUGGCAUCUUCUUUGCUCUAGGAUGGUUUAAUAAUUCAGGCACAUAGUUACCAGAGGCAGCAAGCAAAUGGAGAGGAGUGUUGCCGUCACUAUCUGGCUCAUCAACAAGGCUGUCGCACUUAUCAGAGUCUAAUAAGAAGUGGACUACCUCGUGUUGAUUGUUCAGUACGGCAACAUGAAGAGCAUUUUGAUUGUUUCUGUUAAGCAUAUCCCAAAAAUCAGGGCAGUGAUUUAAUAGCUCAAUGAUCAUGUCUACAUCACCUUCACUGGCUGCAAUGUGAAUUGCUGUCGUCCAGUCAUUUUCAUUGCCUGCCGGAAGGUACACUAAGGAUUUUUUCCACGCCAGCAUAUCAGAUACUACGUCCGCCAAUCCUAAUUUAACAGCAUAGUGCAGUGAAUUCCAACCCCAUAAGUCAGGUUCCUCGCAUAAAGGCUUAUUCCAACGCCAGAGUGAUCUAAUGCAAUCUGGAUGUGUCAACACGAUAAAUGCGUAAUAAGGGGUUAGAUCAUCUCGCAAAUAUAGUUGCACAACAGACAUUACGAAAUCAUCAACAGAAAUCACAGAUAAAUGUUUUUUAGAGCGGUCGCAUAACAAGUGAUCGGAAUGCUACAUAAGUUGAUUAUAAGUUGAUGCGGCUAAUGGAGGAUCCUAUUGAAACUAUCGACAUGAUUAAUACGAAUUUACGCAGACGAUGUUAAUUAUGGGAAAUUUGAAUUGAGACGAUGCACGAUACUGCAAAUUACAAAAGGUUUGUACCUUUAUGUUCCUGAAUUACUGCUGCAUGCAGCGGCGUUCUAUUAGAUGGACCUGCAGCAUAAGUUGAUUUCUUGCAGUACUCCAAGAUAUUAAUCAAAGCAUCAUGAAAACCAGAUUCAGCCGCCAGAUACAGUGGCGUCUCCUGUGCAUGGUUAGGCGGAAAUUCAAAUUCAGGAUCUUCUUUCACCAAGAGCUUAACUACAUCUAGAUGUUGGCUCCUCACGGACUUGUGCAGGGCUGUAUCUCCGCUAGCAUCCGUCAUCCUCGUGAGUUUCUCCUUAGUAUUAUGAUCUUCGACACAUGCAAGUAGCAUACGUACUACUUCAGUGUGCCCUUCAUUAGCUGCUAGGUGAAGAGCUGUUUCAUUUUUCUUGUUUUGACAGCAUAACAUUGCCGGAGUAAUCUUAAGGACUUCUUCCGCGAAAUGGGAGUGGCCAUAGAGGGCUGCGACAUGGAGGACCGUGUUUCCCUUUGGAGUGACUUGGUAGCCGUUUUCUUCAUCCCUUUUCAGAUGAUCAGCAAGUAGAAAAUUGGCAUCUCCGAUAUUGCCUUUCAUCACAGCAUUAUACAAGGUCGGAUCCAUUCCUUUUGAUUUGGUGUUUUAUCCAAAAUCUCCCAAUGAUAAUCCUGUGAGUCCUUUGCUUUCUCUGAUGAAACAUUAUUAUAUAUAUUCUUAAUGAAUCUCAAAGAAGAAAGGGAUCUGGUGCUUGCCUUGAUCACAAGAAAGGGAUUUUGAUGUUUUCGUAUUUUCGCUUUCAUUAUGGUUCUUUUCUCCUAAAAACAAACAAGUAGAGUAGUCACCGGAACAAAGAAAAUCUUGUAGCAACUCAAAUAAGCUAAAGAUGAAACUUACCAAAACAAUAAUGGCGCUCGUUAGCUCCAAUUGCCCCAUGAGACUGGCGAACGUUGCUCCUUUUCCCUUUACUCAACAUAUGCUCUUCGCGGAUCUACAACAUCCAAACUGAAAACCAGCACAUUCGCGAUAAAUUGAAUUUGAAUUCAUAAAUUGUAACGCCCCAUAAAAGGCGUGCAUAGAUAAGUCUUUAAUAUUGAGCUCUUAGACUUAAUGACUUAAAAUUUUCUAAGUGUAAAAUGAGACUUAGUCAUUUUAGCUAGCAAUCUUCGGGAUACAACUUUUCAACCUUUCCGACAUCCGUUUUUAGAUUUUCAAGUUGCGUUACGAUCGGGAAAGCUCAUAGUUCAUCUCGGAUAAGUUUCGGAAUUUUUCGGAACGCAUAAGGCUGCGUUUGGAUUUCAAAACAGUAGUAAAACACAUAGCCUAUUGCGCAGUUUUCAGCAUUUCAGGGUCAACUUCAAACAAUUAUAAAUCCCUGUAUAUAAUGAACUGUGUGAACUAUAAUAUAUCAAACCAAAUAUCUUUGAGUCCUCUUUCAAAUGCAGUGGGUUUCAUCCAAUUUGAUUAUAUGAGUAAGAAGUUAUAAUCGAUUUACUCCAGACUAUCAAACUAUCAAUUGAGGGACAGAUUUGACCUUAAUUGUUCCUUAGGGGUAUUUUGGUCAUCCUUCACCCCUAUAUAUACCACCAUCCCGGGAUUUAAUCCCUCAAACACCAAAAUACACCUUCAUUCAUCAAAAUUGCUCAAGAACACUCCUUAGGGUUUCAAAAUAAAAACCCAAAUAGUUCAAGAUUCAACCGUAGGUUUUCGAAGAUAAUUACAUAUUCGGAAUCACAAAUCCGCGAGCUUCAAGAAACAUCUAGUAUUUUCGGAAAUAGAGGUACGUGGGGUUAUCCUAAAAUCUCAUAGGUGUAGUUUUUAUGAACAUGCAUGCUUUUAAAUGGGGGUUUUCAAUCAAAUGCUAAUAACUUGCUUUCAAUAUGAUUUCUAAGUCAUUUUUCUUUAUGUCAUGNNNNNNNNNNNNNNNNNNNNNNNNNNNNNNNNNNNNNNNNNNNNNNNNNNNNNNNNNNNNNNNNNNNNNNNNNNNNNNNNNNNNNNNNNNNNNNNNNNNNNNNNNNNNNNNNNNNNCAUGAUAAUGCCUAGAUAUCUCAUAUCAUAUUGUGACCAACAAAAGAGAGCAUGAAUUUGAAAUAAUUAUUGUUCACCACUUGUAAAUGAUGAAGCACCUUGGUUUUUACAUGAUUAUGCAUAUGUGGAUAUGAUAUUGAUGACUUGCAAGUUGGGUAUGACAAUACCCUACAGAAUAUGAUACGUGUUUGAAUUAAAUGAAGUUUGAAUGCAUUGAUUUUACAUGAGAUAGGUGGAUGUCCGAAGAAGGCGUUUGAGUGUAAGGGCUCAUCGCUGGAAACCGUGUUUGCCGACACGGGAAUUUGGUACCAGGCUAAGUGAUCUUGUGUACUUGACUUUAUGUCAUUCCCAAAUUGGGACUAUAGGUAGGAGCCCGGGCUAAGUGAUCUUGGGCACUAACAUUGGGUCGAGACACCCUGCUUCGUGGUCUUGUGUGUCUCUCCCCUCUCCAACCUCUCAGGUUCAGAGGCCCAGUCUAGGGGUCAAGAGAAUCAGUAGAUCAUUCAGACAGAGUUGCAGAGACAAGUGGUGAGCCUUCUAUGUUUUAGAAGGUCUUAUGUCCUGCAGUCCUUUUAUCUUAUAUUUAGUUUUGGGGUCUACUGGGGGCCUUGUCCCAGUUUAUAUAUAAUUACUUGACUCAGUCAUUUGUUAGAGAUUUUCGCAAAAAGUUGUUUAGAGGUUGAUAGAUGUUGGGGAAACUUUAUUUCCCCAUUAUUGUUUCUUUUCAUAUUUAUGACCAUGUUUCUGAAUUAUUGUGUUUCUUCCGCAUUACUUUGAUCAUAUGAAUUAGGUGCAUGAUUACCAGACAGAUAGGGGUGUUGCGGGCCUCCAUGGUUUGUAAUGCUCGUCACGGCCAGGCCUGGUUCGGGUCGUGGCAUAAAUAGUGAAGAAGGGUCAAUAGAAGGAUACCAAGAAAAAUGCUCCGAAAAAGGUCUUUUACCAUUGUUGCAUAAACACAACAUAUUCCUCUAUAGAAGGCCCUAUGGAGUAAAGGGAAGUGCAUGAAUUCUUGGAAAAAGAGGGAGCGAGCCUAUAUAAAAUAGAAAAUUUCAUGAAUAGAUAGAGUCAACGGUACAACAGACAGCGCCGCCUAUGUGAAAUCUUUGCGGAGGGGUUCGUAUUAGCUAUACUGGCACUUAAACAACCCAUCCAAAACUGCAGGCAGUGAGUUUAGCAAGGAUAUUUUGAUGAGCGGUGUAAAGAAACAUAAUAGAAUUAAAGUUCCAAUCGUAUCGGAGAGGCAGUGGCAUAUUUGAUUUCAGAGAGGAAAUCUCCGAUCGCACAUCAUAUAGCUUACUCUAAAAUAAGGCAGCUUUAAUAAAUGAAAUUAAAACCAUGACCAUAUUAUACAAUAAGAGUUCAUAUUAAAUUUGAAACAAGAUGUUGAUGACAUAUCUAUCACUCAAGAACAUUAUACAAAAAGAUUGAAGAACUGCAAGCCAGUGAACAUGUCAAGGUUGUAACAUAGACGCGAGUCUCUGUGUAAGUUACGUAGGAAGUUUCAGAUCAUAAGGUCCAUUCUUUCACCAGAGCAACGUUACUUCUUACUAACACGCGAUAUUAUCUAUAGUAGCUUGCUUUCUCAUUCAUGGAACAUGGGAUUCUUUAGCUAAAGCAAUAGUACUUCUUAUUAACAUGUGAUAUUAUCUAUAGUAGCUUCUCUUGAAGCAUCUUUAUCAACCUCCAACGCCAAAUUGUAUGACUAACACAUAAGGCAGCUGAAACAUACUCGACUUUACGAGUUAAGAGAGGAACCAAAAAAAAAAAAAAAGAAAAAGAGAAAAACAUGAGAAUAUUAUCAUAGGUUGCUUCUUUUGUAAUUUCUCCAAAAGAAAAGAUUACAGUGUAAAGCAUCAUAGCUAUGCGUAGGUUCGGGGGAUGAGGGCCAGACCAUAGGGAUCUAUUGUACGUGGCCUUAUCCUGCAUUUUGACAAGAGUCUGCAUUAUAAAGCAUUGAAUUUGAAAUACGAAGAGAUUUUAGUAAAACUUGAUUUUGCUGCCAUGUGACCAGGAGGUCACCGGUUCAAGCCUUGGAAAAAGCCUUUGGCAGGAGUACAAGUUAAGGCUGCAUAAAAUACACCCUUUUGGUAGGGCCCUUCCCCGGACCUUACGCAUAGCGGGAGCUCUCGUGCACCGGGCUUAUAUAGUAAAAAAGUGUUUUUAUUGGAAAAAAGUGUCAUGACAAGAAGAUCUCAUAUAGUAAAAAGAUGUUUUGUUUGCUUCUGGUCAAAGCAAACAAUAAGUACCUUUCUUUUGAUCAAAGGCAAAGAUCUGUGUAGUGUUCAGAAUAAAGAAUUCACAAGAUUAAUUUAAUAUAGGAGAUUUUGGAUAAAUCCGCAAAGCAAAUAAAAGAAAAGAAAAUGGAUCCAACCUUGAACAAUGCCGCGGUGGAAGGUAAUAUCAGUAAUGGUGAUUUUGUACUUGCUGAAUAUCUGAAAAGGGAUGAAGAAAAUGUGUACCAAGUCACUCCACGGGCAACACAAUCUUACACAUGGCGGCACAUUAUGGCCGCUCCCAUUUCGCAUCAAAAGUCCUUAAGAUUACUCCGGCAUUGUUAUGCCAUCAGAACAAGAAGAAUGAGACUGCGCUUCACAUAGAAGCUAAUGAAGGUCGCAUCGAAGUAGUCCACUUGCUACUUAGUAUGGAGGAGCAUUAUAAGGAGACGCUAAUGACGAUGACAGAUGAGAAUGGAGAUACAGCCCUGCAAAAGUCCGUGCGAAGCUGACAUCAAGAUGUAGCCAGACUUUUGGUGAAAGAAGAUCCUGAAUUCGAAUUUCCAUCCAACAAGGCCCGGGAGACACCGCUGUAUCUGGAAACUGAGUCUGGUGUUCGUGAAGCUUUGAGUGAAAUCUUUAACUCAUGCAAGCAAUCAACUUCUUCUGCAGGUCCAUUAAAUCGAACACCUCUGCAUGCAGCAGUAAUUCAGGAACACACGGGUAUGUACAUAUUUUCUUGCCGUUACUCUUCACUGUAUCAACAUCUCUUUUUGAUUUUUGUUACUAUAUGUUGUUUCUUGUACUUCGACUAUUGUAUUAUUUUGUGGCAGUACUGUUUUGUUUUGGACUGUUUUCUCUUGAGCUGAGAGUCUACCGGUAAUAGCCUCUCUGCCUCUGAGGUAGUGGUAAGGUCGACGUACACUCUACCCAUCCCCAGACCAACUUAGAGACUACACUGGGGAGUCUAAAUUUGUGUUGAUUUAACUCCUUAUUAUCAUCAUAUUUGACACAUACAUCCAGAUUGCGCGAGAUUGCUAACGCAAUGGAAUAGAUCCAGAUUGCGCGAGAUUGUGUGAAGAACCUGACGUGGGGGGUUGGAAUUCGCUGCACUUUACUGCUCUUUUAGGAUUGAAAGAAGUAGUUUCCGAUAUGCUGGGUGGAAAAAAUCCUUAGCGUACCUUCCAGCAGCCAGUAUAUAGAACAUACCAACGUUGUGAAUCUAUAAAAACUAUUAGAACAUACAUGGGCAGAUUCACAACGUUGGUUUUAUAGAUUCAGCAUCUGAAUCUAAUAGUUUUUGCCAGAUCCUGUCUGUAUAUAAAUAUUUUGACUUGAGAAUCCAUAAAUUUUAAGUUAUGUACAAGGGAAUUUACUACCGGUAACCAAACACUGUAUCAGUUAUGCAGAAAUCAUUAACAGAUAAAAGGCAUGUAAAUUGUGAACAUAAUAUCCUCGACCUGAAUAUGUUAAUAUGUGUGAGUCUCUGUGUGUGUUGCUGAUAAAGUUGGAGUAACUGGUAAAGUUGUUGUCACAUGACCAGAAGGUCAUGGGUUCAAGGUAAAACUGCGUACAAUACACCUUUGUGGUGGGGCCCUUCCCCAGACCCUGCGCAUAGCGGAAGCUUUAAUACAACGGGCUACCUUUUUGUGUGUGUCUGUGUGUGUGUGUUAGAUAGAGAGGGAGAGGAAGUGAGAAAAGUCGCUAAUUAUCAACAAAUAUAAUAUUUUGAAUCCAUAAGUUCUAAAGUACAAUAAGUACAGUUUUAAGAAUUUCUAAGGUUUAAUCUUUCAAGUUUAAGUCCUACAGAUGACGGUCGUUAUCUAUGUCUGAAACUUCAGAUAGCAUGUAUCCUUGAAAUGAAGUACAAGAUGCGGCAAGCGAGUUCGAGAUGGUCUAGGCAUGUAAAGAGUAGAGGAGCCGAUGCCCCAUGUGGAGGUGCGAGAGAUUGGCUAUGAAUGGUUUCAAGAGAGGUAGAGUAGAUCGAAGAAGUAUGGGAAGAACUGAUUAGCCAAGACUUGAUGUAGUUUCAGCUAACUGAGGACAUGACCUAAGAUGAAUCCGGUCGAGUUGUCUCUCUUUUCCUUCCAUACUAGUUAGUUGUAGUAUUAUUUGUAGUUUCUCUUCCUUCAAUUUCUAUAAUUAUCUAUUACUCUUUUGUGCUUCGAUUAUCAUAGUAUUCUGUUGUAGUUACAUAUUGCUUUGUCGUGAUCUCUGUGACCUUGGAGUAAUUGGUAAAGUUGUUGUCAUGUGACCAGGAGGUCACGGGUUCAAGCUUUUGAAACAGCAUCCGGCGUACAAUACACCCUUAUGGUGGGGCCCUUCCCCAAACCCUGCACAUAGCGGGAACUUUAGUUCACUAGGCUGCCUUUUUUUCUUGUCAUUCUCUCUAUAGUAUUUUUCCAUGGCUUCUCCACUUCUAACAUUUCUUUUCUUAACUGCUUUGAAUUGUUUUUCCUUGCACUGAAGGUCUAUAAAAUUUUGGAAACCUCUUUACCUCCCAAUGUAGGAGUAAGAUCUGCAUAUACUCGAUCCUCCCCAAAUUGCACUUGUGGAAUUUCAUUGGGUAUAUUGUUGUCAUUGUACCAUGAAUUAUUUAGUGAAGGUGCAUUGGUUCAAUAGCAUUGUCCGUGACGAAAAAUGAUCUCCAGCGACCGCUUAUAAUUUAAAUAGAAGAAAACGAUCUUACAUAGAUUGUUAUAUCAUGUGAUAAAGGAUGUAUAACUAAAAAAGCAAGUAAUGAACUAGAAAUAUGUUGUUCAAUUAUAUAUUUGCAAGCAAUAAGUACAAAUAGUAGCUAGCAUUCAUGUCUCUCUGACGAUUUCCUUGCUAUAUAAAUAACAACCAAGAGGUACAAUAAAAUAGAGAGGCAACUUAUGGAACAGACAGUAAUGGCAAAACCAAGUGAAUGUGAUAAAGUAGCAAACAUACCAGUUGAGAAUGCAAUUACAACUGCUAACAUUGACAAGCACUGACAAAUUGCUGCGUUAUCAUAAAGCUUCUGUAUAAUUUUUUCAUUUUCAGGUUUUGGAACUACACUUGCCAUGAUGAAGUAGAUGAAUAUGGAAACAGCCGAGAAUGUGAAGGCAAUGGCAUCGGAAACAACAAAUGCACGAAAUGUUGUUUUCCUUAUUAGAAUCGCCAUCCCUUUAUUAGGGCUAUCUGGGUCGCUCUCAAAACCUCCUGGCAAUGUGAUACCAGCGGCGAAAGUGAUCGUCAUUAUCAAAGUGGCCACGACAAUAUGGAAUUGAGCUGACUUCAUAAUAAUUUCUAUUACUGUUUGAUCUUCCUUUAUAGCUUUAUCGUGAUCAUUUUCCCUCAGUUGCAUUUUGACUCCUGUUCCCGUUUCAUCAUUUGGAUUGAGCAUGUACUCGUACUUCCGCUUUACCUCAAAGUCACGUUUUCCAAAUUGGCCAAUGCUACACAAAUCCUUCACCAAUUUCUCCUAUUUUCAUCAAUAGUACAGUUUAUUUUGAGUCUGUCUAACUGAGAACUAAUAUGUUCAUAGCUUAGGAGACAAUGAUAUCAUCUAAAAUAAAUUCUGGCGAAGGUAGAGCAAGAAAUAGAAUUAAAGUUUUACUUGAUGUUUCAACAGCACAUAUCGUUCACACAAAUCGUUCUUUCGCUUGACAUAAUCCUUGAACUAGUAUAUCAAUAUUUCACCAGCAUAUACUCAAGCGCAACCAGUAUUUCAAAAACAAAUGUGCGGCCGCUUACCUUCUUUGUUGUCGCUUUGCAUGACAAUGCUAUAUCAAGUGGAGUCUGGUUUUCUUUGUUAAAUGUCAUCUUCUUUGCUCUAGGAUGGUUUAUUAAUUCACGCACAUGGUUACCAGAGGCAACAAGCAAAUGGAGAGGAAUGUUGUCGUCGCAGCCUAAUAAGAACCGGACUACCUUGUCUUGAUUGUUCAGUAUGGCAACAGAAGAGCAUUUUGACUGUUGCUGUUAAGCGUAUCCCAACAAUCGGGGCAGUGAUUUAAUAGCUUCUCUAUCAUGUUUACGUCACCUUCACUUGCUGCAAUGUGAAUUGCUGUCAUCCAGUCAUAUUCACUGCCUGCCGGAAGGUACACUAAGGAUUUUUUCCACGCCAGCAUAUCAGAUACUACGCCCGCCAAUCCUAAUUUAACAGCAUAGUGCAGUGAAUUCCAACACCAUAAGUCAGGUUCCUCCCAUAAAGGCUUAUUCCAUCGCCAUAGUGAUCUAAUGCAAUCUGGAUAUGUCAACAUGAUAAAAUGCAUAAAUAAGGGGUUAGAUCUUCUCACAAAUAUAGUUUCACAACAGACAUUACGAAAUCAUCAACAGAAAUUGCAGAUAAAUGUUUUUUCUAGAGCGGUUGCAUAAGAAGUGAUCUGAAUGCUACAUAAGUUGAUUAUAAGUUGAUGAGACUAAUGGAGGAUCCUAGUAAGACUAUCGACAUGAUUAAUCCAAAUUUAUGUAGACGAUGUUAAAUAUUGGAAAGUCAACUUUAGUUAGAUAUCGAUACCUCAAAUAACAAAAAUUAUGUACCUCUUAACAAAUGACUGUGAUAUCGUCAUGAAAAUGCCGCCUCACACCUCUAUCUAUCCUUCUCAGAUCUGCGUAUAUCAUUUCUCUUUUCUAACGCAGCUUCCUGUAGGGCAGCUUUUACGAGUUUUCUAGCAAUGCCCUGUACAAAUUUGGAAAUUUUAGUUUAGUAGAGAAAACAGCUGAUGCAGUCGGUCAAAUGCUAAUCGCUGUUUCUUGAAGUCAACAGCUCGUGUAGAAAACAAAACUACAUGCUCAAUUGCAUAAUGGAAUACGCAAAGAAUAAACUAACUAUACGUUGAUGUCUAGCGAAACACAUUACACGAGUAAAAACAUACAUCUGGAAACUGGACGCCCGUUAAAUCAAGAACCACAAAAAGGUAAAAACACUUUCCAGAUACUGCAAUACUUUAGAACUCAAAAAAUUCUCUAAAGGAAUUAUUGCAAUUAGAUCCCGAAAGUUAAACUAUCACGGUGACCGCCUCGCAAGAUUCAAUAUGAAUGAUACAGUCCCGUAAAUUUCAACAAUUACAAAAGAAUGCCUCACUCAUAGAUUACUUAUGUUUACAAAAUAUCGAGAAUUUAUAGUACUUUUGUUUGUAUUUGCAUGAGAUGUGUUUAAAUGCAAUAACAAAGUUGGUGAAGAUUCAUAUAGUCGACCCCAACUUGUUUGGGCUAGUUGUUGUUGUUGAUGUUUUAGAUAAAAGUAAGAGAGCAAAACAAAAGGAAAGGAUCGAGACGGGAAAGGUUUUUCCAAUUUGACCCUAGAUAGGAAGGUUUGGAGGUCGAGGAUUAGUGUUAAAGGGUAGUUGAUAGCCAUGUGUUGCGGUACUCGUAUGGGGAGAAGCAGUGAGCUACUCUCAUCUUCUCCGUAUUUAGUAGUUUACCAAGUAUUCGGAUACUAUAAAUGCCAUCUCUCGUUCACUCUUGUUAACAAAUGAGAAUGAUAUGACGACAAGAAAAAGUAUUAGAUUUGAUAACCAAGGAGAUUCUUCCUUAUCAAAGAGAAAUGAGGACAAUCUUACAUGAUGUUCGCAACUGCUGACAAUGUCCACGGCCUCUUGAUUGCUGAGAUGCUCCCAUAAGCCGUCUGAUGCAAAUAUGAGAAACUGAUCUUCUGGAACGAGCUUCUGUACAAUUAUUGAUGGCUCAGCGAGGAGAAUAGGCUUCUCGAAUGUUCCAGGAAAUCGAAACUUAGGCAGCAAAGGCUCUCUGUUAAACUCCGCUCUCUUCAAAUAUGCAUCACCAAUUGAUCUCGAAACCUGCAAAUUUAUUCGUACUUCAGUAUCACAACAUCGACUUGAUGUCACUGUUCAGACACCUUAGAUACGUCGCAAAGAUUUUAUGAAAUAUUAGAGCAAGUGUUAUCUUUUUCAAUUGCCUACCCCCAGUGAAGCUUAACUUGCCGCACAAUAAGUAUGAUAAUGUGGAACUAAAGUACCUGUAUAACUCCCUUCACACGCCAAACCUUGUGCUUUAAAACUACUACAUUUGGAUCAUCGGGGUGCAGUGAGCGCAGUUCCUCACGGACAGAUUCCAAACUUGCGUUGUGUUCAGAAGAUAAUUGAACUGCUUUGACCUCUUUCAGAGCCCUCUCCCGUUUUCCUAACACCGCACGAGAAUCUCCAGCAUUUGCAAUAUAUAACAUCCCACUGCAUAUAAUACCCACUAAGCAGCAUGAUCCGACCGAAGCAAUUUGAGGUCUAGUUUGCCAUUCCUUUCUCACCAGAGAAAGAAACUCUUCUUCAGUUGCCAAAUAUGCCUUGCGUAUAACAUCGGCUGACAUUACUUGAUCCUCCGAGGUGAAUUCUGCAUCAGAAAAAAGCUGUCGAGUGAGUAACAUAUGCAUCAGCAAUCUUUUUACCGUAUGCAAGAGGAGGAGCGUCUGCACAUUUCAAACGGUGAGAAAGAAUCAUCGAAGCUUUCUUUACUCGAGCAUUUACUUCUUGUGGGGCGGGAAGUGGGAAAGGAGGAAGCGAGGCUGAUCAAAUGCUAUUGUAUGGAUUAAGAAGCUCGAUCGGUAGAAAUUUUAAUGGGUUGUUUUGCUAGGUCUUAGUGAUGAGAUUUAUCAGCAGCGAAUAUCGUCUAGCUCUCUUUUAUGACUAUUUACUAUGGAUAUUUCAUGGACAUGGAACCUGUAUGAUCUGCAUUCGUUGAUCCUAACACGAUGGGCGUUUGUGUCUAAUCAACGUUAGAUAGACAUUGCCAGCUUCCUAACAUACUUAUCAGUCACAUCUUGCCACACCUCCUGAUUAUUACACUUGAAUGCAAAAAAGUUGUUAGCUUCACAGUUGUUAGCUUGCAUGUCGAGGCCAAAUAUUUGUAUUAUAAUUAUAUUUGAUGAAGUCUAUUUACCUUAAGUCUUUGCAUUUGAAUAUCUUAAUAUGAUGUAGAACUUCUAGGUGCGUUAUAUCUCUUAAAUGGAGUCUUUGUUGAGUCUUUAUAUUAGAAUAUCUGUCAAUUUUAUAUAUACUAGUAUUCGUACUCGCGCGUUGUGCGGAACAUUAAGAAAUUAUAAUAAUUGCUAAUAUUUACAUGACUUAUUUACGUAAUAACUUACUAGGAAAAUUGGUGAAGAUAUAAUUAAUAAAUAGACUAAUAAGAGAACGGGUUGAAGACAUUUACUUCUUAAGCCUCCAUAUUUAUGAAAAGAAAAGAACAUGAUAGUGUUACUAAUGUGUAACUCAAUCUACACAAUUAAUGCACCGGACUGCCCUUUCUUGUGUGUGUUAGAUAGAGAGGGAGAGGAAGAGUGAAAAGUCGCUAACUGUCAACGAAUAUAAUAUUUUGAAUCCAUAAUUUCUAAAGUACAAUAAGUACAGUUUUAAGAAUUUCCAAGGUUGAAUCUUUCAAGUUUAAGUCCUAAAGAUGACAGUCUAUAUCUAUGUCUGGAACUUCGGAUAACAUGUAUCCUGGCAAUGUCGUUGCAUCUUUUAAGGCACAUUUCUUAUCGCAUAAGCGAAAUUGUCUCAAAAGACCUAUAAACUCUCGGAAUUUAUGCAGACUUAGUGAAAGAUAGCACAUAACGGAAGAAAAAGAUGAUCGUAUAGGGGAUACCAUUUAGUUGGGAAUAUGUUAAGAUCGACAUGUUAAUAAGGCUACUCUUUAUAAUAUGGUGUUGGUAGUUGUUAAAGGCGCUUUACAAGAGGAAUUAACCUUUCCUAUAUGUAAUGCAUGUUUAGUAAUAGGUCUUUUAGAUGCAUGGAUUAUAAUUCAUGUUGUCCAGCCAAGAACUCACGUUCAGAAGAUAAAAGUUACGGAUAUGAGAAAGAUAAUAUGGAUAUGUGGGACUAAAAGAUAGGAUUAGAAAUGAAGAUAGUCCAGCAUGAGUGGCAUUGCUGCGACAAGUGAGACUGAGAUGGUCCAGGCAUGUAAAGAAGAGAUCAGGAGCCGAUGCCCCGGUAUGGAGGUGUGAGAGAUUGGCUCUGAAUGGUUUCAAGAGUGAUAGAGUAGACCAAAGAAGUAAUGGGGAGAGAUGAUUAGACAAGACAUGAUGUAGUUUCAGCUAACUAGGGACAUGACCUAAUACGGGAGGUUAUGGAGGACACGAAUUCGGUAGAGUUGUCUCUCUUUUCCUUCCAUACUAGUUAGUCGUAGUACUACUCUUGUAGUUUCUCUUCCUUUAGUUUCUAUAAUUAUCUAUUACUCUUUUGUGCUUCGAUUAUCAUAGUAUUCUAUUGUAGUUACUGUUCCUUUUUUUUUUUUUUUAAGAUUGCUUUGUCAUGCUUUCUAUGACCUUGGAGUAACUGGUAAAGUUGCUGUCAUGUGACGAGGAGGUCACGGGUUCAAGCCUUGGAAACAGCCUCCAACAAAACUACAACGUAAGGCUACAUACAAUACACCCUUCCCUGAACCUGAGCAUAGGGGGAGCUUUAGUGCACUGAAAACAAAACACUGUAUCAGUUAUGCAUAGAUUAUAUAAUCAUUAAUAGAUAAAGUUGUGUUGCUGCUGAUAAAGUUGGAGUAACUGGUAAAGUUAUUGUCAUGUGACCAGAAGGUCAUGGGUUCAAGCCUUGGAUCUAUAGCAUUGUCGGUGAUGAAAAAAUGAUCUCUCGUGACCACGUAUAAUUAGAAUAGAAGAAAAUGAUCCACAUAGAUUGUUAUAUCAUGUGAUAAAGGAUGUAUAAAUAAAAUAUAAUGUAAUGGACUAAAAAAAACCGUAUCUUUCAUAUGUAAUUCAAGGCAUUGGGUAAAAACUGAAAUAUGUAGUUGAAUUAUAUAUUUGCAAGCAAUAAGUACUAGUAGCUGGCAUUAUGUCUCUCUUAACUAUAAAUAUGAACCAAGAAGUAUAAUAAAAUAGAGAGGCAACCUAUGAAACAAACGGCAACGGCAAGACCAAGUGAAUGUGAUAAAGUAGCAAACAUAACAGUUGUGAAUGCAAUUACAACCGCUAACAUUGACAAGCACAUAAAAAUAAUUGCGCGAUUACAAAGCUUCAGUAUACGUUUUUUUUUUUAAAGUUGUGUACUUAUAUUUGCCAUGAUGAAGUAGAUGAAUAUGGGAAUAGCUGAGCAUGUGAAGGCAAUGGCAUCGAAAACAACAAAUGCACGAAAUGUUGUCUUCCUUGUUAGAAUCGCCAUCCCUUGAUUAGGGCUAUCGGGGUCGCUCUCGAAACCUCCUGGCAAUGUGAUGCCAGCAGCGAAAGUGACCAUCAUUAUCAAAGUGGACACAACAAUAUGGAUUUGAGCUAUCUUCAUAAUACUUUCGAUUUUUGUUUGAUAUGCCUUUUUAGCUUUAUCUUCAUCUUCUUCCGUCAGUCGUAUUUGGACUACUGUUCCCGUUUCACCAUUUGGAUUGUGCAUGUACUCGUACUUCCGCUUUACCUCAAAGUCACGUUUUCCAAGACUUAAGAAAACUGGGGUGAAUCAAAGCGAAGGUACACUCAAGAAGACAUAACUUAGACUAAAAUAAGGAUGUUCAAACAUAGAGACAGUGAAUCAAACCAUAAGUAGCAUGCAAAAUGAAACAAUGGGUAAAUAAUUAACCAACCAUAUUGAGGUUUGAACAAUAGAUUGCAAAACCGAGGGAAGCAAAACGAGGCAAAAAUCAUGGAUCAAAUGAUUAUAACAACAGUUAGCCUAACGUAGCAAGAAAUACUAAAUCAGAAAGGGAAACGGGACACGAAAGGCGAAAUCUUGAUGAUAUAUAUGUAGAUUCAUACCACAAACUCUCAGGUAACCAACAACGUCAAUUAAGAGAUAGUGUAUUCGACAUAAUCGCAUUGAGAAUUAUAACGUGAGCACUGCCUCAGAAAGAUGGCAUAAUAAUAAUCACAAAAGAACCCCUAAGGCCAUUAGGACCAUCUACAGCAGACAAAACCCAGCCUCAUUCAUGAUUAUUACUAAAUAAUUGAACUAAUUCUACGGAGAAAGGGGGAUGAAGCAGAAAACAAUGGAAUUACAAGGACGAGAGCGUUUACCUCCUUCGGGGCAGCAAAACGGGGCAACGAGCUAAUUGUCAGGAUGUCGACCACCGCCGGAGCUCUCUCAAAAGAAACCCCUCCAAUUAAUCAGCUAACUCUCAAAAGAAGAAAGAAACGAGAAUUUUUCUACUAAAAGGAAUUGUUGCUCUCAAAAUUCUCUUCUGCCUCCCUUAAUUUUCGUUUUUCGAAUCCCUCUCUUUACCAACCUUCAUUCACGAAAACCGAACCCCUUUCUCGGCUCUCCGUGAGCCCUUUUAUAGAAGGGAUUGAGGGCAUUCCAGGGAUUUCCGAAAAUAGCCCAUUUUAAUUUCGAAUUCCCCCCUCCAGCUCCGUUUUUGUCCUCAAUCCGCACCAAUUUGGGUUUGGUGGACCAAUAGAAUUGGGAUGAAACGAAUUCUCCCCCAGACCCAAUGAAAAAUCGCCAAAUCCGUACCAUUACCCCAAAAUUUGCGGAAUAUGGACGUUAGAUGAGCCAACUCACCCUCUUUCUAGAAGCUUCUCGGAUCUUCCAUGGUACAACAUCGCGUGGGACGCGUGAAGAGGAUUAAGACGAGUUGGUUGCGGGUCGAUUUGACGGAUUUUGAUGAGUUGGAGCUGUUGAUCGAGUUAUAGAAGGUCGGGGCGGGUUGAUGGUUAUUGAAGCUGGUCGGUGUUGAGAUUGGGUGAAGGCUAUUUUGAUGAAGACAACAACUGAAAUGGGCCGGGUCUGAAAUUGGGUUGACAUUGGAUUGGGCCUGGGUAGUUAUUAAUUUGUUGUUGGGCUGGUGAAUGGGUAAAAGGGAGUGGGACGGAUGGGAUUUGGGCUUGUGUUGUUGAAAUGGGCUGUUGAAGUUCGGAACAAAUGGGAGAUUGAUCAAGAAAGAUAUUUGGGCCAAAAUUGGGCAGAUUAGGAAGGAAUUUAGCAGUUGGGUAACUUUUGGGGUUUCUUAAUAAAUAGCCUCUAGGGAUUAGCCAAUUUCAUUUCAUUUUUUGGUCAAAUUGAAGAUUAAUUGGCCAAUUGGUCGAUUUAAUUUCAAUUAUGACCAAAAUUAAAUUGAAAUCCAAUUCGAAUCAAUACCUCAUUUAAUCCCGAACUUCUCGAUUUAAUAAAAUCAAACACAUAUUUAUCCAAAUAAAUUAUUUUUGAGAUUACAUUGUAUUUGAAUCAAAAUUUUAAUUAUCACAUUUAUUUUCAAAGAUUAUCCUUAAUUAAAAAUAGACAUUGAUGCGAAUGUUCAUUUAAAUGACAUCAUUUAUACAAUCUCGUAUAUGUAAAUAUGAAAAUAUAUAAUUAUUACUUAAAUAACAAACUUAGCCCAAAUACAUAUUUAAAAUGCAUUUAUUUUGAAAAAAUAACUGUUGUGAUUUUAUUUGAAAAUCGAAGAAACUCGAGAUUUAACGUAGUUGAGGAGGGCAAAAAUUAGGUGUCAACACAUGUAAAAUAAAUUCAGGCGAAGGUAGAGCAAGAAACAGAAUUACCGUUUUACUUGAUGUUUCAACAUCACAUAUCGUUCACACAAAUCAUUCUUUGGCUUGACAUAAUCCUUGAACUAGUAUAUCAAUAUUUCACCAGCAUAUACUCAAGCGCAACCAGUGUUUGAAAAACAAAUGUGCGGCCGCUUACCUUCUUUGUUGUCACUGUGCAUGACAAUGCUAUAUCAAGUGGAGUCUGAUUUUCUUUGUUAAGUGACAUCUUCUUUGCUCUAGGAUGGUUUAUUAAUUCAGGCACAUGGUUACCAGAGGCAGCAAGCAAAUGGAGAGGAGUGUUGUCGUCGCUAUUUGGCUCAUCAACAAGGCUGUCGCACUUAUCAGAGUCUAAUAAGAAGCGAACUACCUCGUCUUGAUUGUUCAAUACGGAAACAUGAAGAGCAUUUUGACUGUUGCUGUUAAGCAUAUCCCAACAAUCAAGGCGGUGAUUUAAUAGCUUAUAUAUCAUGUUUACGUCACCUUCACUGGCUGCAAUGUGAAUUGUUGUCGUCCAGUCAUUUUCACUGCCUGUCGGAAGGUACACUAAGGAUUGUUUCCACCGCAGCAUAUCAGAAACUACGUCUUCCAAUCCUAAUUUAACAGCAUAGUGCAGUGAAUUCCAACCCCAUAAGUCAGGUUCCUCGCAUAAAGACUUAUUCCAUUGCCAGAGUGAUCUAAUGCAAUCUGGAGCAUUCCGUGCAUAAAUAAGGGGUUAGAUCUUCUCGCAAAUAUAGAUGCACAACAGACAUUACGAAAUCAUCAACAGAUAUUGCAGAUAGAAAAAAUUGGAUGUUGAUACAGCAAAUAGCAAAAAUUAUGUAUCUUUAUGUUUCUGAAUUACUGCUGCAUGCAGAGGCAUUCUAUUCGAUGGACCUGCAGUGUAAGUUGGUUUCUUGCAGCAUUCCAAGAUGUUAGUCAAAGCAUCAUGAAAACCAGAUUCAGCCGCCAGAUAGAGUAGCGUAUCCUGCGCAUGGUUAGGCGGAAAUUCAAAUUCAGAAUCUUCUUUCACCAAGAGCUUAACUACAUCUAGAUGUUGACUCCGCACGGCCUUGUGCAGCGCUGUAUCUCCACUAGCAUCUGUCAUCCUCGUGAGUUUCUCCUUAGUAUUAUGAUCUUCGACACAUGCAAGUAGCACACGUACUACUUCAGUGUGCCCUUCGUUAGCUGCUAUGUGAAGACCGGUUUCAUUUUUCUUGUUUUGACAGCAUAACAAUGCUGGAGUAAUCUUAAGGGCUUCUCCCACGAAAUAGGAGUGGCCAUAGAGGGCUGCAACAUGGAGGACCGUGUUACCCUUUGGAGUGACUUGGUAACCGUUUUCUUCAUCCCUUUUCAAAUGAUCAGCAAGUAUAAAAUAGGCAUCUCCGAUAUUGCCUCUCAUCGCAGCUUUAUACAAGGUCGGAUCCAUUUUGGAUUUGGAGUUUUAUCCAAGAUCUCUCAAUGACAAUCCUGUGAGUCCUUCGCUUUCUCUUAAUGAAUAUAUAGGAAAAACUAAUUAGAUUCUUAAUGAAUUUUAAAGAAGAAAGGGAUCUGGUGUUUGCCUUGAUCACAAGAAAGGGAUUUUUAUGUUUCCGUAUUUCGCUUUCGUGUCAAAAGUGAAAAAAUAUCAUGAGCAUAAACAGUUCUAAGAACUUAUUAAACCUCCCAAGACAAAGUAAUACUUGGAUCUCUUAAGAUUCACUUCAUCUUAUGAUUCUUUUCUCAUAAAAACAAGCAAGUAGAGUAGUCGAUUACUUAAGAAACGAACAAAACAUGACUACAGAACAAAGAAAAUCUUGUAACCAACUCAAAUGAGCAAAACUUAACGAAAUAAUAAUGGCGAUAUUAUCUAUAGGCAGCUGCAACAUACUCGACUUUACAAGUUAAGAAAGGAACCAAAAAAAGAGAAAAACAAGAGAAUAUCAUCAUAGGUUGCUUCUUAAGCACCAAAGAGAAUGUCAUUUCUCCAAAAGAAAAGAUUGCAGUGUAAAGCAUCGUAGCUAUGCGUAGGGUCCGGGGAAGAGGGACAGACCACAUGGGUCUAUUGUAUGCAACCUUACCUUGCAGUUCUGCCAGAGGCUGUUUCAAGGCUUGAACCCGUGACUUCCUGGUCACAUGACAACAACUUUACCAGUUUCUCCAAUGUCCCAGAGAGCUAUCCGUAGGGUCGGGGGAAGAGGGCCGGACCACAGGGGUCUAUUGCAUCGGGCUGUCCUUGUAUCAUUUUCAAUUAGUCUUGUUUGUGUUGGAAAAAAGAGUCAUGGCAAGAAGAUCUUAAAUAGUAAAAAGAUGGUUUUAUUCAUGUUUGCUUUUCUUUACAAAUUCCUUUCUUUUGAUCAAAGGCAAAGAUCUGUGUGGUGUUCAGAUAAAUCUAUAUAAUGUUUCAACCAGAGAAAGCAAAGAACUCAGUAAACCAAAUAAAAGAAACGAAAAUGAAUCCAACCUUGUAUAAUGCUGCGGCGGAAGGCAAUAUCAGUAAUUGCUAUCUACCCCCCCCCACCACCACUCACCCCCCCUCCCAAAACUCCCAACACAUGUACCGUGUAACUCUCAACAGAUUGGAAGAAAUGUUGGAGUCCCACAUCGAUGGGUUUAAAGGGUCCUUGGUCUCCUUAUAUGGUCUAUUUCAUCGGUUGCAUCUCUUUCCUUGUGUAAACUUUUCCAUUAUGUUCCCUGAACUGAACUCAGAAAAUUCUAUGAGAUCAAGAUUCAAAUGUGAGUUUACAUUUAUAGAAAAAUGACUUAAUAAACCUAGAAAAAUAAUAACAACGUUACUACUGUGCGAAAAUGAAUAAGAAUGGUAUAAUUCAAUUCAACAUUUUUUGUCCUUUUGGAAAUGCACUCUUCCCUCAACUUUUCAACAUAGGGGGUUUGCUUGCUUCCGCUGGUGAUGGGUGGACCAGUGAAAGAUCCAAAGACAUGUUGUGAACAUGGAUACCCCAGAGGCUAGCCAAGUUGUUGGGACCGAGGCUAAACCAUGAAGAGGCCCAUGAAUUAGACAGACCAACAAUAGCUUUGCUAAUUUGUGACCCCAUAUUUCAAUUGUUUCAUUUGCCGAUUAAUCAGUUUUCAGUCUACACGUAGCACUAAAGUUUUCGCUAUGUGUGUAGGGUCCAGAAUAGGAUCGGACCACAAGGGUCUAUUGUACAUAGUCUUACCUUGCAUAAUAUCGCAUAAUUUAGACAUAUAUCUCUAUUAUUUAAUAUUUGAAUUAUCUUUAGUCGAAUUCCUGCACCCGUAUCCGUUCACUCCGAAAUUAAGAAAGAAAGAAAUCCUGCAAAGACUAGACUAGAAAACACUUGCAAAGGGAUACAAUUGAUCAUAUAUAGCUGAAAUUAUAUGCAACAUCAAACACAUUGUUGCACUUUUAGAAAUUAGAACAAAUACAUUAUCUUUAUAAUGAUGAAAUCCUCUUGUCACCUAUGUCGCGCGGACUCUUCACUUUUGAUGCCGCAACCGCGUCGGAUUCUCAAAAAUACACUAGUUUUGGAGAAUCCGGAACACACCCGCUGACAAUUUUGGAGAGUCCGAGCAACAUAGCUUGUCACACAUUGGCAGCUCUGUUCUGGUUUCUUUCACUAUGCUUCUUUUUUUUAAGACCAAUUGAUCCAGCAAAGCCAAGCAACAUAUACAAAGAGAACCCGCCCAUGACAGCGACAGUAACAGCGAUACCAACUGAAUGUGCUAACGUAACAUACAUACCAGUUGCAAAUGCAAUUACAACCGCUGUCAUCGACAGAAGCUGCAACAUAGUUGCAACCAUAUAAAGACGGACAAUAAGCGAGAACUCCUUUUCGGAUGAUAUUGCAUUUGUCGCCAUGGAAAAGUAGGCGAAUACAGCAGCAGAGGAGCAUGCAAACGCGACGGCAUUCGAAACAACAAAUGCACGGAACACUGCAUUUUUUAUUAGAAUCGCCAUCCCUUUAUUAGGGCUAUCAGUAUCGCUAUCAAAACCACCUGGUAACGUGAAACCAGCUGUGAACGUCACUGUCAUUAGUAGCGUUGCCACAACUAAAUGCAUUUCAGCUGUCUUCAUAAUAUUUUCGACUAUUCUUUCUUCUUGCCUAGCUCUUUCUUCUCGAUCACCCCCCGACUCCAUCUCUGGUAGCAACUGCAUCAUCCUUCUCGCACCUAGAAUGCGUGAGAAGACUUUAUCUACAAUGUGGAAGACCAUUCUUUUUUAUUUAAAUAGCUAUGCAAUUAUCCAAAAUUAUGAACAUUUGUCUUUUUUGGUAUAUAUAUAUAUAUAUUUGUCUUUUGCUUUCUCAACAUUAUAUAGGAAAACAAUUAAACUCUUCAUCCUCAAGUCUCUGCUGAGUAGUGUUUCUUUUUUGAAAAGACAUAUACUCUCUCCGUUUCAACUCGUUUGGCUUACUUUCCAUUUGCUCCGUUUCAACUUGUCUGGCUUACUUUCCAUUUUAGUCUGUUUAAAGAAUGACACUUCCCUUUUUUAGCAACUCUUUAGUUUCAACUUUCGAUAUGACAGGUUUAAGACUAACACUUUCCUUCUCUAGAAACUUUUUUGUUUCAACUUUCCACGUGACAGGUUAAACUGAGACUUCCCUUUUUUAGCAACUUUUCCAAAAAAAAAAAUUGUUUAAUUUUUCUGACGUUAAGAAUUGUUCCAAUAAUUUCGAGCUAGAUUUUUUCAAGAAAGUGUUUAUAAUGCUACAUAAAUUGAAACCAAGACCACCCUCCCCCCCNNNNNNNNNNNNNAAAAAAAAAAAAGAUUUUCUUGCGAAGAAUCUCGUGAUUCUUUCAUCGAAAUAAGGACAAAUAGUUUGAUUUGAUAUUUUCAAAGAAUCAACUAAGGUUUUCUCAUAGUUCGUAUAUCAAAAAAAGGAACUAUUCAUAUGUUAGUUAAAGCAAAAUUUGGAUUGUACAAAUUUAGAUCCAUUUUCUUUUCUUUUUUUUUCCUUUUUUUUUUGGAUUUUGGGAUUUAUAAAUAUUUCAAAUUAUGAUCUUGUGUGUCCUUUAUUACAUUAUCAUAGAAAUAUUCUGAACACAACACAAACAUUUGCCUUUGAUAAAAAGAAAAAGGAAAGGUGUUUAAUUUGUUCUUUGCUUUGAUUGGAAGCAAAGAAUUUGUACUUUUUUCACAGUAAACUCUGUCUAUCAAUGCUAGAACAGAUGAGAAGAAAUCAUCCUAGCAUUUAUCUUCUAGUGAAAAUUGAACCCGAGAUUUCAUAGUGCAUAACGAACUUCUUUGACGACUAGGCGACACCUUUGGAUUCUCCUAGCUAACAUCUUUGAAUUAAGAUUGUAAUUGUUUCGUUCAUCCAGAGAAAGCAGUCAUGCUCACCAUAUUUGUGACGAGAAGGAUGAUGGUGGUGGAACCACAUGCAGAGUCUGAGGGUAAUGAUCGUGAAUACAGAGCUAGUCGAGAUGAAAAAUUAGUCGAAAACAUUAUGAAGACAGCUCAAAUGCAUUUAGUUGUGGCAACUAUAGUACUCUUCUUGAUGAAUCUCCAAAUAGAAAACUAAGUAGUACCAUUUUUUGCCUUCGACCCCAAGAAAGGCAUUUGUUAUUUGCCUUGAUUGGAAGAAAGGGAUUUGCUAACCAAACUAUGUCAAAAAUAAUUUUUACGCUAUCAGGUUAUAUCGACAUGCACUAACAGUUAAUUCUCCUGGUCAAGCAUUGCAUGAUAACAAUUUGCAACAAUCAAUUUAAUUGACGACAGCAAUGUUAGAACAUACAUGGGUGAAUUCACAACGUUGGUUUUAUGGAUUCACCAUCUGAAGCUAAUAGUUUUUGCCAGAUCCACUAUAUAUAUAUUAAGACAUCACUGAAUAUCUAUAAAUAUUUUGACUUGAGAACCCAUAAAUUUUAUGUUAUGUACAAUGGAAUUUACUACCUGUAACCAAACACUAUAUCAGUUAUACAGAGAUUAUAUAAUCAUACACCCUCGUGGUGGGGCCCUUUCCCAGACCCUGCGCAUAACGGAAGCUUUAAUGCACCGAGCUGCCUUUUUUUCUUGUGUGUGUGUGUUAUAUAGAGAGGGAGAAGAAGAGAGAAAAGUCACUAACUAUCAACAAAUAUAAUAUUUUGAAUCCAUAAUUUCCAAAGUACAAUAAGUACAGCUUUAAGAAUUUCGAAGGUUGAAUCUUUCAAGUUUAAGUCCUGCAGAUGACGGUCUAUAUCUGUGUCUAGAACUUCGGAUAGCAUGUAUCCUGGAAAUUUCAUUGCAUCUUUUAAGGCACAUUUCUUAUCGCAUAAGCGAAAUUGUCUCAAAAGACCUAUAAACUCUCGGAAUUUAUGCAGACUUAGUGAAAGAUAGGACAUAACGGAAGAAAAAGAUGAUCAUAUAGGGGAUACCAUUUAGUUGGUUUAAGACAUGUUAGUAAGGCGAUUUAUUAUAUGGUGUUGGUAGUUGUUAAAGGCGAUUUACAAGAGGAAUUGACCUCGCCUAUAGAUUCAUGUUGUCCAGUCAAGAACUCACGUUCAGAAGAUAAAAGUUACGGAUAUGAGGAAGCUAAGAUGGAUGUGUGGGACUAAGAGAUAGGAUUAGAAAUGAAGAUAUUCUAGUAUAAGUGGCCUUGAUGAUGAACAAGAUGCGGCAGGUGAGACUGAGAUGGUCCGGGCAUGUAAAGAAGAGGGGAGCGUAUGCCCCACCGUGGAGGUGCGAGAGAUUGGCUAUGAAUGGUUUCAAGAGAGGUAGUGUAGACCGAAGAAGUAUUGGAAAGAGCUGAUUAGACAAGAAAUGAUGUAGUUUGCUGGGGAUAUGACCUAAGACGGGAGGUUAUGGAGGACACGAAUGCGGUAGAGUUCUCUCGCUUUACCUUCCAUACUCGUUAAUUAGUCGUAGUACUACUCUUGUAGUGUCUCUUCCUUUAAUUUCUAUAAUUAUCUAUUACUCUUUUGUACUUCGAUUAUCGUAGUAUUCUGUUGUAGUUAUUGGUCCUUUAAUUUUAAGACUGCUUUGGUGCACCGGGCUGCUUUGAAUUGUUUUUCCUUGCGCUGAAGGUCUAUAUUCUCCCCAAACUCCACUUGUUGUUGCUGUACCAUGAAUUAUUUAGUGAAGAUACAUUGGUUCUAUAGCAUUGUCGGUGCCGAAAAAAUGAUCUUACAUAGAUUGUUAUAUCAUGUGAUAAAGGAUGUAUUAGUAAAAUAACAUGUAAUGGACUAAAAACCAAAUCGGUCAUUCAAGGUAUUCGGUAAAAACUGAAAUAUGUAGUUGAAUUAUACAUUUGGAAGAAAUAUCAAAUUCUUCUUAAACUCAUCAUCAUAUAUAUUUGGAAGCAAUAAGUACAAGUAGUAGCUCGCAUUCAUGUCUCCCUACUCGCUUAUAUUCUUCAUCUUACUCUCAUCAUAUUUUUCUCCAAGUAUAAAUAAAAGCCAAGAAGUACAAUAAAAUAGAGAGGCAACCUAUGAAACAGACAGUAACGGCAAGACCAAGUGAAUGUGAUAAAGUAGCAAACAUACCAGUUGCGAAUGCAAUUACAACUGCUAACAUUGACAAGCACAGGCAAACACCUGAGAGAUGAUAAAGCUUCUCUAAAGUUUUCUUAUCUUCAGGAUCUAUACUUACAUCUGCCAUGAGGAAGUAGAUGAAUAUGGCAACAGCCGAGAAUGUGAAGGCAAUGGCGUCGGAAACAACAAAUGCACGAAAUGCUGUUUUCCUUAUUAGAAUAGCCAUCCCUUGAUUAUUGCUAUCGGGGUUGCUCUCAAAACCUCCUGGCAAUGUGAUACCAGCAGCGAAAGUGACUGUCAUUAUCAAAGUGGCCACAACAAUAUGGAGUUGAGCUGACUUCAUGAUACUUUCGACUUCCUCUUGAUCUGCCUUUUUAGCUUUAUCAUGAUCAUCUUCCCUCAGUUGCAUUUUGACUCCUGUUCCCGUUUCAUCAUUUGGAUUGGGUAUGUACUCGUACUUCUGCUUUACCUCAUUGUCACGUUUUCCAAAUCGGCCAAUGCUACACAAAUCCUCCAUCAAUUUCUCCUAUUUUCAUCAAUAGUACAGUUUAUAUUGAUGUAAAAUAUAAACUAAUCUGUUCAUAGCUUACGAGACAACGAUAUCAGGCGAAGGUAGAGCAAGAAAUAGAAUUAAAAAAGUUGUAAUUGAUGUUUCAACACCACAUCAAGAAUGGAAAAAAUCUGAAGAUUUGUGAGUGCACGCAAAUCGUUCUUUCGCUUGACAUAAUCCUUGAACUAGUAUAUCAAUAUUUCACCGUCAUAUACUCAAGCACAACCAGCAUUUGAAAAACAAAUGUGCGGCCGCUUACCUUCUUUGUUGCCACUUUGCAUGACAAUGCAAUAUCAAGUGGAGUCUGGUUUUCUUUGUUAAAUGACAUCUUCUUUGCUCUAGGAUGGUUUAUUAAUUCAGGCACAUGGUUACCAGAGGCAGCAAGCAAAUGGAGAGGAGUGUUGCCGUCGCUAUCUGGCUCAUCAACAAGGCUGUCGCACUUAUCAGAAUCUAAUAAGAAGCGGACUACCUCGUCUUGAUUGUUCAGUACGGCAACAUGAAGAGUAUUUUGAUUGUUGCUGUUAAGCAAAUCUCGACAAUCAGGGGAGUGAUUUAAUAGCUCAUUUAUCAUGUUUACGUCACCUUCACUGGCUGCAAUGUGAAUUGCUGUCGUCCAGGCAUUUUCACUGCCUGCCGGAAGGUACACUAAGGAUUUUUUCCACCUCAGCAUAUAAGAAACUACGUCUAUCAGUCCUAAUUUGACAGCAUAGUGUAGUGAAUUCCAACCCCAUAAGUCAAGCUCCUCGCAUAAAGGCUUAUUCCAUCGCCAGAGUGAUCUAAUGCAAUCUGGAUGUGUCAACACGAUAAAUGCAUAAAUAAGGGGUUAGAUCUUGCAAAUAUAGUUGCACAACAGACAUUACGAAAUUAUCAACAGAAAUUGCAGAUAACUAUUUUUUAGAGCGGUCGCAUAGCUAGUAAUGUGAAUGAUACAUAAUUUUUAUUUCACGCAUUUAUACCAUUUUAAAUGGUAAUUCUUGAUGCAUCUCCUCUCUAGAGAGCCUUUCGUCCAGUUUCUCGAGUACCAUUUGAAUCUAAUGGAAAAAUUAGCUAUCUCACAAUCAACAAUCCCCUCUUCUCCUCUUCCCUCCGAGUGAAACAACUUCCAUUACCACUAAAAUGGAUAUCAAAUUUAGGAUGCUGAAAAAACCAGCUCAUUGGAAAAGACAAGUGCUGUCACCUGUCUCUGUUAGAAAAUCCACAAAUGCAACAACAACAUACCCAGUGUAUUGUUAGGAUUUGUCGUGAAUUUCUUACCUUACUUGGAUUCUACCAUAAUUGUGUUUUACUUCGGAAAGCAUGAUUUCUAUUAGGUUUAUUCUUUCUUAGAAGAAGGUUUUGUAACUCUAUAAAUAAAACAACUCUCUUCAUAACACAAUAGCAUCCACAAUAUAGUCGUAUUAAGAGUUUUGUUUAAGGGAGAUUUUAUCUCUCAUUAGUUUUAUGUUUUUUUUUUAAUAUUAAGUUUUAUAUGUAGGCCAAUUGGCCAGAAUAUAAUAAUAUUAAGUUUUUAGUAUUGUUUUAUGUGAUUUGCAACAAUUAGCUUCCGCAUGACGCUUGACAAUGGUUUGCAACAAUUAGCUUCCGCAUGAUGCACUCUCGAUUUCGAACCCAAUAUGUAUUCCCACAUAGUGGGGUCUGGGGAGGCUGUUUAGCAAAUAUUUUUAGUCAAAGAAUAUAACGUUGCACAGAGAUACUGAAAUGACAUGGAUCAACCCGCACCUCGGCUAAGUCUUCUUCUCUUCCCUCCUAUUUUUUCUUACGGCAGAAUCGCUAUUCAGGUGGGAUGAAAACUGCUGGACAUUAAAUAACCACAUCACGAUUGAUCUCGGUUGGCUAGUUUAGAAAGUCGCGGGAGCAGGCCAAAACUUCUUUGUUCACAUACAUCAUUCGCUACACCUUGGCGAGAUAGUCUUUUGGAGAGGAGAAGAGGAAUUGAGGUAGUUGUCAGAGAUUUAACUAGUAAGAAAAUUAGUCCAUUGGAUUAUAAGUUGAUGCAGCUAAUGGAGGAUCCUAGUGAGACUAUCGACAUGAUUAAUCCAAAUUUUUGAAGCCGAUGUUAAUUAUGAUACAGCAAAUAACAAAAAUUUUCUACCUUUAUGUUCCUGAAUUACUGCUGCAUGCAGCGGCGUUCUAUUAGAUGGACCUGCAGCGUAAGUUGGUUUCUUGCAGGAUUCCAAGAUGACAAUCAAAGCAUCAUGAAAACCAGAUUCAGCCGCCAGAUACAGUGGCGUCUCCUGCGCAUGGUUAGGCGGAAAUUCAAAUUCAGGAUCUUCUUUCACCAAGAGCUUAACCACAUCUAGAUGUUGGCUCCUCACGGCCUUGUGCAGCGCUGUAUCUCCACUAGCAUCCGUCAUCGUCGUGAGUUUCUCCUUAGUAUUAUGAUCUUCGACACAUGCAAGUAGCACACGGACAACUUCAGUAUGCCCUUCGUUAGCUGCUAUGUGAAGAGGCGGUUUCAUUUUUCUUGUUUUGACAGCGUAACAAUGCCGGCGUAAUCUUAAGGACUUCUGCCACGAAAUGAGAGUGGCCAUAGAGGGCUGCAACAUGGACGACCGUGUUGCCCUUCGGAGUGACUUGGUAGCCGUUUUCUUCAUCCCUUUUCAAAUGAUCAACAAGUAUAAAAUCGCCAUCUCCGAUAUUGCCUCUCAUCGCGGCACUAUACAAGGUCGGUUCCAUUCCUUUUGAUUUGGUGUUUUAUCCAAGAUCUACCAAUGAUAAUCCUGUGAGUCCUUUGCUUUCUGUCUUUAAUGUGAACUGAUGGAUGGAGUAUAUAUAUACAUGUACUUGAUGAAGUCUAUUUACCUAAGCCUUUGCAUUAGAAUAUCUUAAUAUUACCUAAGUCUCUUUGUUUAGUCUUUAUAUUAGAAUAUCUGGAGAUACCAGACUGGUCAAUUUUACAUAUAUGGUGUGGCCAUAAGCUGAACUUGAGAGUCCUUUGCUUCUAUUUCCAAGGCUAGAACAGAUAGGUAUAAAUACCAACUUCGUUCACCACUCGGCCUCACCUUUGGAUGCUACUAGCUAAAAGAAGGGCAGUCGGUGUACUAAAGCUCCCGAUAUGCAUAAGGUCCGCCUCACCACAAAGGUAUAUUGUACACAGUCUUAACUUGCAUUUCUGCCAGAGGCUGUUUCCGAGGCUUGAACUCAUGACCUCCUGAUCACGUGACAACAACUUUACCAGUUGUCUAUCAUAAUUUUGGAUAAUAGCCCAAAGCAUUUAGUAAUUUCCAGCCCUCAACAAUUGCAUCUUUUUGCCGUCUUCAUAUUUUAUGAUGUCCCUACAUAAUUAAUGUACUUUAACACUAUAUACGUUUACUUUUUCAGUAUAGACAAAUUGCAAGCUAGUGUCAAUUAAUCAAUCAUGUUAUAGGGCUAUCAAUAUCACUUUCAUAACGUGAAACCAGCUGUGAAGGUCACUAUCAUGAAAAGCUAGCUGCCACUACUAAAUGUAUUUGAGCUGCAUGCCUUCAUAAUAUCUCUCUCUGACUAUUCUUUCAUCUCAUGGAGAGCGUUGGAGUAAUUGGUAAAAUUGUUGUCAAAUGAUGAGGAGGUCACGGAUAAUUAAUUAAUAAAUACCCAAUGAACUUGAAAGUCGUUUGCUUUCUCGAGGUGAAACAACAACACACUCAGUAUAUUCCCACCAAGUGGGGUCUUGAAAGGGUAAGUGUACGCAGUCCAUAUCACUACCUCAGGUGAGAUAAAGAGGUUGUUUUCGAUAUACUCCCGACUCAAGAACUUUCUCAAGGUGAAACAUUAUAUAGAAAUUAAAAGUUGACCCGGUCUUUCCUUAGUACCAUAUAUAUCAGGCUCAUCCAUGUAACAUGGUGCAUGUGGCCAAACUUGCCAUCACUAAGUCAAGUUGUACUAUUAUUAGGGAAAAGAACAUUCUAUGACACUUUUUAAAAUAAAUAGUCUAAGUUUGAAAAUUUUCGAAAAGUGAUCAGUCGGAUAUACUAUUUCCGCUUUAUAACCAUUUCCUAAUUUGGGUCAUUUUGGCUUACGUAGUCCAUAUAUAGUUUAUAUAUAAUGCUGAUACAGUCUAUAUACAAUACUGAUACAUUAUUCAACUUGGGCAAUUCGACCCUUUUAAAAAUAUUUCAUUUUUUUUGUUAUAAAAUUUUAACUGAUCAAAUAUUUUGUUUUUCUUUAUUGUUUAGAAAUAAUAAUUAAAUUAUAUAAAAAUGAUAUAAUUGUUAAAUAGAAUAUGUAUUUAUGUAAGAUAUAUAUAGAGAGAGAGAAAUUGUAUAGUUCUAUCAAAUAUGUAUAUGUAUAAAAUAUAUAGAAAAAAUAUAUAGAAAAUGUAUGAAAAUUAUAUAAUUAUUGUAUAAAACGUGUAAAAAAAAAUGUCCAGUUAUUGUACAAAUUGUGUAUCAAAACUGUAUAAUUUUCGUAUAGAAUAUUUAUAUGUAUAAGAUAUGUAUAGAAAGUGUAUAGAAGAUGUGUAGAAACAGUAUAGAAUAAGUCAGUAAAUUGAAAUGGCUAGAAAGUAGAAUUUAAAUUCCAUAACCAUUUUCAUGGACUUAUUAGUAGUAGUACAAUGAUUUUGAGAGUGGAUCAAUAAACCCUCAACAACCCAUUUUGAAAGUUUGACAGAAUUUAGUAAUCUCGAUUUGAAUUUUAUUUGUAUUUUUUAAAAAAAUAUAUUUUUAAUAUGUACAAAUUAUUAGUUUGGAAUUCAUUCACACAAAGAGGGUAGAAGCUAUUAUAUCUUUAAAGUUAUGUUAUGUUAUGCCCGAAGAUUAUUGAGUUCAAAUGAACACAAGAAAAAAAUUGCUCGGACUCAUUCACUUUCGUUGUCGCACCCUUGUCGAGACGACAUGGAUUAUAAUUCAUGCUGUCCAGUCAAGAACUCACGUUCAGAAGAUAAAGUUACGGAUAUGAGGAAGCUGAGAUGGGUGUUUGGGACUAAGAGAUAGGAUUAGAAAUGAAGAUAAUCGAGUAUGAGUGGCAUUGACGAAGAACAAGAUGCGACAAGUGAGACUGAGAUGGUCCAGGCAUGUAUAGAGGAGAUCAGGAGCCGAUGCACCGGUAUGGAGGUGCGAGAGAUUGACUUUGAAUGGUUUCAAGAGAGAUAGAGUAGACCGAAGAAGUAAUGGGGAGAGCGGAUUAGACAAGACUUGAUGAAACAUGUAUGCACUUAAACACUAGGAUUAAGAAGCUCAGGGACGGUCAAAAAUGAACUUGUUUAAUUUUUCAGACGUUAAUAAUUCCAAUAAUUUCGAGCUGGAUAUUUUCAAGAAAGUGUGUAUAAUGCUACGUAUAUUGCAACCAAGACCCAAAAAAAAAAAGUUUUUCUUGCGAAGAAGCUUUUGAUCCUUUUGCCUUUGAUGAAAAAGAAAAGGAAAGGUAUUUAAGUUGUUCUUUGCUUUAAUUGGAAGCAAGGAAUUUGUUCAACUUUUUCACAGGGCCAUCAACAACUGUUAACAGUAAAGUCUGUCUACCAAUGCUAGAACAGAUGACAAGAAAUCACCCUAGCGUUUAGCUUCUAGUGAAAAUUGAACCCAAGACGACUUCAUUGACCACUAGGCGAAACCUUUGGAUGCUCCUAUCUAGCUAGCAUCUUUGGAUUAAGAUUGUAAUUGUUUCUAUCAUCCAGAGAAAGCAGUUCUGUAUGCGAUGUUUGUUAUUUGCUAAAGAAAGGGAUAACUUCUUGUUUGAGUUUUAUGCUUUACAUCUCCACCAUUAUUUACUGUGAAGUAGAAAACCUUAUACUCCUUAUCAAGAGUUUAUGUUAUGUCGAAAAUAAUUUUUACGCUAUCAGGUUGUACGACAUGCACUAACAGUUAAUUCUCCUGGUCAAGCAUGGCAUGAUUAUAACGUGAAACAAUCAAUGUAAUUGACGACAGCAAUAUUAGAACAUAUAUGGGCGGAUUCACAACGUUGGUUUUAUGGAUUCACCAUCUGAAUCUAAUAGUUUUUGCCAUAACCUGUAUAUAUAUAUUAAGAAAUCACUGAAUAUCCAUUAAUAUUUUGACUUGAGAACCCAUAGUUUUUAAGUUACGUACAACGGAAUUUACUACCAGUAACCAAACACUGUAUCAGUUAUACAGAGACUAUAUAAUCAUUAACAGAUAAAAGGCAUGUAAAUUGCAAACACCAGAUUCUCGACAUGAAUAUGUAUAUAUGUGUGAUUUGUAAUAUUGGGCAUGUACUCGUACUUCCUCUUUACCUCAAAGUCACGUUUUCCAAAUCGGCCAAUGCUACACAAAUCCUCCAUCAAUUUCUCCUAUUUUCAUCAAUAGUACAGUUUAUAUUGAGUCUGUCGAAAAAUUUAACAUAGUAACUUGUCUAACUGACAACUAAUCUGUUCAUAGCUUAGGAGACAAUGAUAUCAUGUAAAGUAAAUUCAAGCGAAGGUGGAGCAAGAAAUAGAAUUAAAGUUUUACUUGAUGUUUCAACACCACAUAUCGUUCACAGAAAUCGUUCUUUCGCUUGACAUAAUCCUUGAACUAGCAUAUCAAUAUUUCACCAGCAUAUACUCAAGUGCAACCAGUAUUUGAAAAACAAAUGUGCGGCCACGUACCUUCUUUGUUGUCUCAUUGCAUGACAAUGCUAUAUCAAGUGGAGUCUAGUUUUCUUUGUUAAAUGUCAUCUUCUUUGCUCUAGGAUGGUUUAUUAAUUCACACACAUGGUUACCAGAGGCAGCAAGCAAAUGGAGAGGAGUGUUGCCGUUGCUAUCUGGCUCAUCAACAAGGCUGUCGCACUUUAUUGGAACUACUCUAUGACCAUUUUUUUUUUUAAUUUUUUUAGUGACAACAUUUAAUUUUUUUCUUCAAUUAUAUUAUAAUUGUCAAAAAACCGAGAAAACCGAAAAUACCCGACUAAAACAGAAAUAAAAAAAUCGAUUGUAUAUUGAUUUGAUUUGGUUUAUAGAUUUAGAAAACCGACAUUAUUGAUUUAGUUAUAUUUGAAUAAAAAACAGAACCAACCCGACCUAUGAUAAAGGAUGUAUAACUAAAAAAGCAUCUAAUGGACUAGAAAACCAUAACUUUCAUAGGUAAUUCAAGGUAUUGGGUAAAAACUGAAAUAUAUUUGCUAGCAAUAAGUACAAGUAGUAGCUAGCAUUCAUGUCUCUCUACUGGCUUACAUUCUUCAUCUUACUCUCACCAUAUAUAGCUACAACUAUAAAUAACAACCAAGAAGUACAAUAAAAUAGAGAGGCAACCUAGGAAACAGACAGUAACGGCAAGACCAAGUGAAUAUGAUAAAGUAGCAAACAUACCCGUUGCGAAUGCAAUUACAACUGCUAACAUUGACAAGCACUGAAAAAUACCUGCGAGAUCAUAAAGCUUCUGUACAAGUUUCUUCCUUUGAGGAGAUCUACUUGUAUCUGCCAUGAGGAAGUAGAUGAAUAUGGCAACAGCUGAGCAUGUGAAGGCAAUGGCAUCGGAAACAGCAAAUGCACGAAAUGUUGUUUUCCUUAUUAGAAUUGCCAUCCCUUGAUUAGGGCUAUCGGAGUCGCUCUCAAAACCUCCUGGCAAUGUGAUACCAGCGGCGAAAGUGACAGUCAUUAUCAAAGUGGCCACAACAAUAUGGAUUUGAGCUAUCUUCAUAAUACUUUCGAUUACUGUUUGAUCUGCCUUUUCAGCUUUAUCGUGAUCAUCAUCUCUCAGUUGCAUUUUGCCUCCUGUUCCUGUUUCAGCAUUUGGAUUGGGCAUGUACUCGUACUUCCGCUUUACCUCAAAGUCACGUUUUCCAAAUCGGCCAAUGCUACACAAAUCCUCCAUCAAUUUCUCCUAUUUUCAUCAAUAGUACAGUUUAGAUUGAGUCGGUCGCAAUCAGUAUUUGAAAAACAAAUGUGCGACCUCUUACCUUCUUUGUUGUCACUGUGCAUCACAAUGCUAUAUCAAGUGGGGUUUGAUUUUCUUUGUUAAAUGACAUCUUCUUUGCUCUAGGAUGGUUUAUUAAUUCAGGCACAUGGUUACCAGAGGCAGAAAGCAAAUGGAGAGGAGUGUUGCCGUCGCUAUCUGGCUCAUCAACAAGGCUGUCGCACUUAUCAGAGUCUAAUAAGAAGCGAACUACCUCGUCUUGAUUGUUCAAUACGGAAACAUGAAGAGCAUUUUGACUGUUGCUGUCAAGCAUAUCCCAACAAUCAAGGCGGUGAUUUAAUAGCUUAUAUAUCAUGUUUACGUCACCUUCACUGGCUGCAAUGUGAAUUGUUGUCGUCCAGUCAUUUUCACUGCCUGUCGGAAGGUACACUAAGGAUUUUUUCCACGCCAGCAUAUCAGAUACUAUGUCUUCCAAUCCUAAUUUAACAGCAUCGUGCAGUGAAUUCCAACCCCAUAAGUCAGGUUCCUCGCAUGAAGGCUUAUUCCAUCG